AGUCUUCGCUGUGUCUCCCAGGCUGGAGUGCAGUGGCACGAUCUCAGCUCAGUACAACCUCUGCCUCCCGGGUUCAAGCAAUUCUUGUGCCUCAGCCUCCCAGGGAACUGGGACUACAGGUGACUUUACAAUCUCUAGACCCAGACAUUUCUCUCUGAAGUGGAGUGAAGGAAGGAGAACCAGAAGCUAAAGUGUGUUUCACUGGGUGAAGUAUUUUGGGGGAAAGAUAAGAAGGAUGAAAUAGGGGAAUGGACUAGUGCCUGCAGAGAUUAACAAUGCCUGUUUGGGGCUGGGGAGUGGGGGCUGUGGAUGAAGGCAGGGAGCCUCUAGAGGGAAAAGAGACUUCUGUGCAAAGGAAAAUGACAUUAGCAUUGACUCUGAAAUGGCUGGGAAUGUGACUUUCUAAUUUUAAAUUAUCUUUAACAAGGGCAAUGAAAAGAGGAAAAGUUGACACUUUGAGAAGUUAUGACGAACUUGUCGAGAAUGCCAAUUGACAAAGGCAGGUAAGGGAGUACUUGGAAAAACAGCAAGAAUAGGUCUGAAGGGCACGGUGAGCUGCUUUCCUAGGGUGUAAAGGGAAUUGGCAGCCGUGUUUAUUGACUCUUCCAAUUAAUUUUAAAGAAACCUGAAGAAAUGGACAAAGACAGAGAAAAGGCAACCAGAUGUGAUUCCGCCCUUCCAGAAGCAAAGAGGCUUAUUUCAUCCCAUAUGAUCGAUGCCAGUCAUGGGGAGGAGUGGCUGUGUGGAAAUUAAUGGAUUUUCAACAUCCAAUCACAGAGGACACACAUGUAUAUUUAGCAAGUCUAAAACCUCUUAAAUAAACUGCAUUGCUUUUCAUUUUCACUUUCCAGUUAUAAAACCAGUGGAUGAUGAAAAGGCCAUGUGACAAUACAGCAUGUACUCUCAGGAAUGUUUGUGUGACGGGGAUAUUAUAUCUGAAGGGACAGGGCAACUGGGAGGGUGAACUGCUCAUAACUCUCAAUUGUCCAGGUAAUGAAGCAUUGGGAAAGCAAAGGCAAAUGAAAUAACCUGAUCAUCAAAAAAUGAUUCCUCUUUUAGUGCUCUUAUUAGUUGACUGAUGAUGACAAGUGUGAAAUUGCCAGAGUUGUAUUUUACCAUUUCUGGCACUCAUCACGUGCUUUGGAUGAGCACAUGUGUGCAGAAAGUGGGAACCCGGGCAAUUUCUAUAGACCAGGCUGUUAACCUGCAAGCUGUAAAAUUUCACAGUGUGAAGGAUGACAGUCAAGGAUUGGUGAGGUUCCCUAGCAUUCUUGAGGACUCACAGGGAAUCAGAAGAAGAACUGAAGCUACACUGAAAGGGCUCUUGAACCCUCUAAAGCUGACUUUUUAGUCUUGAACUUGGGGUUGUAUGUUAAAUAUGUGAUACUCACUCAUGAUGCUACCACUUGGUCGUAUUUUAUUAGACUAAAGUGUGUUAAAGCCAGAAAGGGCUUUAUGAAUCAGCGAGCCUAGCCCACCCUAUUUGAACUGAUGCUGACAAAGGUAACGUGUUCGAGAUCACAUUCCUAGUAAGCAGCAAGACUGUGACUAGAACCCAAGUCUUGUACUUUCUUACCUCAUGUUCCUGUCACUUGUGUGCUGUGCCAGGAUCCUCCAAAGUUCGAAUAAUGAGGAUUUUUUUUUUUUUAAAUUUUGAGACGGAGUCUUGCUCUGUCGCCCAGGCUGGAGUGCAGUGGCGUGAUGUCUGCUCACUGCAAGCUCCGCCUCCUGGGUUCACGCCAUUCUCCUGCCUCAGCCUCCCGAAUAGCUGGAACAAUAGGCGCCAGCCACCGCGCCCAGAUGAUUUUUUUGUAUUUUUAGUAGAGACAGGGUUUCACCGUGUUCGCCAGGUUGGUCUCGAUCUCCUGACCUCGUGAUCCUCCCGCCUUGGCCUCCCAAAGUGCUGGGAUUACAGGCAUGAGCCACCACACCCAGCCUAAUGAGGCUAUUAAGAUGUGUGCAAGUUGAUCUAGCAUUAGGCAGUAGAUUAUGUACAAAAUUAAGCAUGGGUUAUUUUGGCUAUGCAUUAUUAGUGGAACAUUGUCAGUAAUUGUUAUUUUUUAACCCCACUGGGCAUUUUUAUUAUUAAUUAAAAAUCCACCAGUGAGCUUGUGGCUAUGUCAGUAAAGCCAUUCUAAAACAUAGUGAAAAUAGUGUCCAAGUCUCAUGCUCUGAUUUAGUGGAAAGUAAAACUAUUUUUACUUUCUAUUAAUAGGUAUAGAGUUGAGCAUCUCAUGCUUAGUGCUCACCAGAGCUAGACACAGCCAGGAGGCCCACAGCAAAGAUGUGUGUCUCCGCAGCAAGCUUGUUUUCUCAAAGUAGAGGAUUUAAGGCUGUACCUUGUCUAGAGAUGCUCAGGAUCAAGUCUGUGAAUGGAAUAUUAUGUAGCCAUUAAAAAUCAUGUUGCACUAGAAAAGUAUUUCUUAUCAAGAAAAAGUGUCUAUCAGCCAUUGCUAAGUGAAAAGUAACAGCUUUCAUAGCAGUGUGCAUGGAAUGCCAUCUUUUUUGUAGAAGGAAAUUGUGUGUGUGUGUGUGUGUGUGUGUGUGUGUGUGUGAGUUAUAUUAGUAAAUUAACUUGGACCCACGAAUACCAAAAUGAUGAAAUGAUAAAGUGGUCAUCUGUGGAUGCUGGGAUUACCUGUGAGUUUCUUUUUCUUUGUGCUUUUCUGUAUUUUUUGAAGUUCUUACAUUAUGUAUAUGUUACUUUUGUAAUUAGAAAAAAUAAAUCAUUUUUUCUUCCACAAAAGACUGUGUGUUGUGAAACUUGGGAUCCUUUGAAGGAACUGAUUCUGAACUUAGUAUGUUACACAGAACAUCUCAGUGUUUCAGGAUGGGUCAAGUUUACCGGGCCAAAGAGAAAUACCACUUGACAGGCACAUUUAGCCGGUAAAACAAGGGUCAUUCAGCUUGAAUAUUACAGGUCCUAACACUGGAACCGCUUGCCUCUCAGGGCGAUAUCUUUGAGACAUUAAUACCGUGAUCCACAAUGAGAAAAACAUAUUAAUUACAUUGUGAACUAGUACACACACACACACACACACACACACACACACAAACAUUUCAUGUAAAAUAUUUACCCUUCACUUGUGAUGCGUGAUUGUGUUUGCUCUAUUAUUUAAAAUACAGAUUACGAGCCACCACAUUGGUUUCAUGAUCUAUUUAUGAGCCACUCCUCACUAUUUGAAAACCUUGUCCUGGGCAUGAAGUAGAAGCAGCCUUUCUGGGGGACCAUGGCCCAGCAGUGGGGGAGGAAGGAAGUGUUUCCACAGUAACUGAUGUUAAGCUCCAGGUGUUACUCAUUAUGACUUCAGGGAGGAGGAGGGGGAGGGAAAAUAAUGUAAAUACUUAUUAUUUAUAAUCAUACAGUAUCUUUAUGCCACUUUUAGCACAUGCUCAUUAAUAUGCUAGUACAUUUAGAGGCACAUCUGCCUAGACUGGCUUAGAAUAUAAAUUCUGGGAUCCCUCUUUUGCUUGGAGCUGACAUCAGUGUGUAAGAGCCCAAGGGUGGCAUUCUUUCAUUCAACAUAUAUUUACUGAGUACUUUCUAUGUGCUAGGGCCUGGGGAUAAAGCAGCAAACAAGAGAGGCGAGCUCCCUGCCUUUCUGGAUCUUAUAUUUGAGUGGUGGCAUUUCUCUUAAGAAGCUCACUGAAAUACCUGGGUCACCUCAGACCAGGCAUUUAUGGUGGUUCUCUUCUAAAUGUGUUUUGAACUUGGCCUUUUCAUCUCUCUACCUUGUAUGUGCCUUCACCUUUCCCCUCCUCCUCUGCCUCACCUAGUCCCCAUCUCUCUCUCUGCUCAUUGAAAUCCUACCAUCAUUUUCACUCCAGAUAAGAUCCACCUUCUCCCUCUUGAAGCUCCCAGACUCCUGUUUGUUACAGCAGUCAGUCAUAUGGGCCUUGCUCAUUUAGUGAACAUGUAACCUCUUCCUCUGCCAGGCCUCUUUUACGCUGUCUGAUAGUUAUUUUCCAGGUAUGAGCCUAGUCUUAAGGAGAUCAAGACCACAGUUUAUGUUUUUACUCCAUGCACGAUACCUUGCAUAAAAUAGGUGCCCAUUAAGCAUGCAGAUACUCUCUUCCACAUUGUCCUGCAGAGGUGUUUGCCUUCUCAGUACACCAGCUAGGCACUUCCCAACUCUGCAGGCACAUCUCCUGCUGUCUUAUAUUUCCAAUGGGGCCUUCGGUUUGGACUCAGCUGCACUUGUUUGUGUGACUUCUGCCUCUCUUGAAUCCACUGAUCCCCUCAAUUGCACGAUCAGGCCUACUCUAGUCUUGAGCAACUCAGACCAAAGCUGGACGUGUUGGGAGACAAUAUGUGUAUGUGGUUUUUACAAGCCUGCUGGGAGGAGUGAGACAGACCUGGGCCAAGACCCAGGUGUGUGCUGUGCUAGCCGUGUGACCUUAGGUAAAUUCAUUAAUCCCUCAGUUCAGCUACCAUGGGCUGGAUCCAAUUAAAAGAGGACAAAUCACUGAAAUUCAGCCCCAUCAGCCACUUGUUGAGCUUUCCUGACGUUACCUCCCAUACCUGUCUGGCUUCUUCCUUCCCUUUUCCCUGUCUCCCUGCUCCCACUAUUCUUGUACUGCCCUCUGGCUGCCCCAUCCAGGCACUGAGGCUGGGGUUGCUACCUUAUUCCCACCUUGCCCUGGUGCUCUCAGAGACUUCACUUUUCACCAACCCAUCAUUCCUUGCCCUCCCUUCCCUUUACUCACUUUCUCCUUUCUGCCAAAAAAAAAAAUCACAUCGGAGAAGCUUGUCUGCAAGGGUUCCAUUCAACUUGCUGUACAUUAAUGCUCCACUAUGGUGACCCACUGCUGAGUCUUUCACUUGUAAUGUAAUCUAAUAAUUUACAUGCACUUUGCAAGCAAUACUCUAAAAGACUCGCAACCUGUUUGAAAUUGCUCUGCUGUUACAGUAUUUGAGCUGAUGAGAGAACAGCGUGAGAAAGAGUAGUUUUUGGUACCACAGUGGUAUUAGGUAAACCCAGGAAAAUAAUGUCAGCACAAGGUGAGGGUGUGCUGAUGGAUUAUAAUAUCCUUUCUUAGAGAAUCAAUUAAACUUGCUUAGGGUCUUUUAUCGAUUUUGGCUUAUAACUGGACUAGGAUAGGUCAAAGUAUUCAAGGAGUAGAGGCAUAGCUGGCUAAAAAUAGUGAAGCAAGUAUGGAAUCCUGUCUUUCUGAGAUGGCUGUGAAAUGUUUUAGUUUUGAUAUACUGCAUGACUUUUACAGAAUUAAUUGGCAUUGUGAUUAGGUUGUUUUAUUUCUUCACUCAAACAUGUUGGAAGCCGAUUCUAAUAUGCGGUAGUAAUGAAAAUAGAGUAAUGCUGUAAUAAUAGUGCCAUUGUAAAGUGAAUUACACCAUUAAGCAUCUAUUUUGUCUAAUUUGUAUUGUGGUAGUGUGAGUGAUACACACACAUGCAGACGUAGAGGAGCUGGUCUUUAAGAAAUAGACUCUAGCUGAGAAGAGAAACCCCAGUCCUAUAAUAUUGAACAGUCAGUGAACAAAAAUAAUUGGUUCUGUGCAAAGUGAAUUUAUUUAUACAUAUACAUAUAUAUACACAGCCACAUAUAUAAAUAUACACACACAUGCACACAUACAUAUUGUGUCAGGCAGAUCAAGAAGAUAUAUGACUUUGGCAUAAAAAAAUGCUUGGCUUAUGUUGCCUUUUAACAAGUUGAUUAUGAAUGGGGACACAUAUUAAUUAUGACAAGUCAAGUCAAUGAUGGCAUCAAUGCCAGGCUUUGAAAACAAGGCUUUCUACGUUUGUUUCAACCUCUUCAUCCUUAUUACCAUGUCUGAGAACCCCUAUUAACUGGUAUUUCUCAAGUUUUGGAAAGAAGUAUUAAGGGCCCAGGAAUGAUCAUUUUAUUUUGUCAUUUAUCUCCUAAGGAAGGACAUUUGUCAAACAAUUUUCUUUCCACAGCAGAAAGAUAGAGGCACAUUUCUAUGCCUUAAGUCACACAUGAACCCUAAGAGCAGAAAUAGGACCUGAGAAGGCAGUGUCCAACAUGGCUGCUCCCAGUGGGACAGGUAGAUUUAAAAGUACAAGAAGGGCCAGGCGCGGUGGCUCACACCUGUAAUCCCAGCACUUUGGGAGGCUGAGGCGGGCGGAUCACGAGGUCAUGAGUUCGAGACCAUCCUGGCUAACACGGUGAAACCCCAUAUCUACCUAAAAUACAAAAAAAAAAAAAAAAAAAAAAAAAUUAGCUGGGCGUGGUGGCGGGCGCCUGUAGUCCCAGCUACUCGGGAGGCUGAGGCAGGAGAAUGGCAUGAACCCAGGAGGCGGAGCUUACAGUGAGCCGAGAUCGUGCCACUGCACUCCAGCCUGGGGACACAGCAAGACUCCGUCUCAAAAAAAAAAAAAAAAAAAAGUCCAAGAAGGUGUUAAACUUUGAUGACAUUCCAGUGACAUUAUCCCUUCGCCCACAAGAGGACUGGCUUCAGGGGAUAGUUUGGCAGUAAUUGUCCAGGAGUUUUCAACCGUUAGGGUGGUAUGGGCAGGGAGGUCCUGAAAACUUUUACCUGGUCCAUCUCCAGUCUGGAUUGCUGCCUCCAAGGCCCCCUCUCUGCAUUCUGCCACCACAGCAUCUAGAAGGGGUUAUACUGAUGGCCUCCCAUCUCUCACCUGCCCCCGCUUUUGGAUUUUGCUUCUGUGGCAUUGCCAACACCACCAUCUGGUAAUCUAGAACCUCAGAAAGACUUGUCCAUAGAGAUGAGAUUGUAUGUAGUUUAGAAUACCUUUAACUUUCGUAUAUAUAAUGCUUGCUCUGAUGAUCAAUAUAUUGAAAGCGAAUUUGCUUCAUAAGCCACUGUUCACUCCCUGUCUUUGAAAUCAACAACGUAAGUUUUAAACCCCGCAAGGAUUUAAGGAGAUAGUAGACAGUAUCAAUGCCUGGCAUCUGAAUUAAGAAUAUAUUUAGUGGAGAAGUUUUAAUACAAACCUCAAUGAAAAAGCAUCAAUAUCAUAUUCAGCCUAAUAAAAUGUUUUAAUGAAAAUUGUCAUGGCGUUUGACAACAUCUCUUUAUUAAUUGGUCUUUUCCAUUAUUAUUUUCUUAGUAGCAAACACACUCUGGUUUUAGCUCUCAUUAGUUAUAGUCCUCAUUGGAUUCACAUUUUGCGACUUCAGCUGUGUUUAUCUUCUCAUUGGUCUCAGUUCCUUGGGAGCCAGGUUAUAGAUUGUCUUCAGUGUUCUGUCCCAUAUCUCUCUGCCUUUUACAUGAGCAUUCGGUGAAUGCCCUCAGGAUGCUAGUGACGUGCAGUUUAGAAUCAAUAUGUGAAAGAUGAGCCAGCUGAGGGAGGACUGGGAUGAAGCAAGAAAAUCUAUUCCUCGAAAGUUUCAAAUGUUUAAGGGCAGUAUAAUAGAAUAUAUCGCCUCCUUGCAUUGAUCCAUCAAAUAUUCUUGUGCACUUACUAUGUGUCAGGUCCCAUGUUAGUCAAUGGAACGACAAAGCUGAAUUAAGUGAAUUGAUGGGCAAGAAAGACAUUACUUUAAAAAGAUGUAGCAUGCUAUAGUAGAGAUACUUAGGAAACCUAUAACAUAGAGAAGAAGGAGAAAAUGCCCCGAGAGGAGUUAGGGAAAGCUCACUGAGGUGGUUAUGCCUGCCCGGGUUUUAGAAAAAUGAGGAGAUUCUUUUGGCAAAAAGUGACAGGGCAUUCCAGGCUGAGGCACCCAAGGGGAGAGUUCAUGGCACAUUCAGGUAACAUAAGUGAGAUGUAGCUUGGCCUGAGAGUAUGCUGGUGAGGAGUAGGAGAUAAGGUUGGAGAAAGUAGGCAGGGGCGAGCCUAAGCAUUUCGGACCUUGUCUUAUAGCAAAAUUUUGAACAAAUGAAAAAUACCUGAUUUCUUUUUGGUAAGGUACUUAAAUAUACUUAUGUGGAGUUAGGGAGGGAGACAAGGAACCAAGUUAGGAGAUUCUGUAAUAAUUCUGGUGACUGAUAUUGAAGGCCAAGACUGGGGUGAGGGUUGGGAGUGGAAGGCGAAGAAGAGUUGACUCUGCGGUAGGAUUCCCCAGGAAGUGGAGUUGGAAGAACAUGAUGGAGGGAAUGGCAGGAGUCAAGUGCAGAGUGUGGGCCGGGAUUAUUGGCUGGGACAGUGUAGUGGAGUAGAGUGUGAAGAGGAGAGAAGGCAUGGGUUCAAUUUGGGAUGGGCUGAGUUGGAAGUUCCAGGGACAUAUCUGAUGGGCAGCGGGGAAUGGGGGUCUAGCAGGGAGCAGGUGACAAUAUGUUACAUGUGGCAUUAGGCAAGAAAACAAAAAAAUAGCAAUAGCAAGUAUCUGGCACUUAGGAGGGCCAGGCUAGAGAGCUGGAGUCCUAACUCUGAGCAGCACUCUUGAUAGAGGAUUAGAAGGUGAAUUUUUACAUCUAUGAGGUGAUGUUCAUGGAUUUUGAAAUGAUAUCAGCAGAAAAUAAAUCUAAGGUCUAAGUGGGUGUGGUUGGGAAAUUGAAGGGCUUGGAUUGGUACGAUGACAAAGAAAAGUCUCUCACAAAAGUGGAUUGGGACUUGGAGACCCUACAUCUACAUAAGGUGUAAAAAAGUAAGAAUGGGCCUGGCAUGGUGGCUCACGCCUGUAAUCCCAGCACUUUGGGAGGCUGAGGUGGGUGGAUCACCUGAGGUCAGGAGUUCAAGACCACCCUGGCCAAUAUGGUGAAACCCUUUCUCUACUAAAAAUACAAAAAUUAGCCAGGUGUGCACUUGUAAUCCCAGCUACUUGGGAGGCUGAGGCAGGAGAAUCACCCGAACCUGGGAGGCAGAGGUUGCAGGGAGCUGAGAUUGCGCCAUUGCACUCCAGCCUGGGCGACAGAGUGAGACUCCGUCCCAAAAAAUAAAUAAGUAAAAAUAAAGUCAGAACGUUUGUAAGCCCAGAGUCAGGUUUUAGACCCUUUGCUGUUUCGGGUUGCAUUUCACUUUUCUCUGCUUUGAUGGUGCUCUCCCAACAUGCCUAACUGAUGAUUGAAGUGUUGCAGCCUUUUUUUUUUAAAACAAACAAACAAACAACCCUUUCUACACAGACAGCAUUGAGUUGUCCUGUCUCUAAAGGCAAUCUGCCCCACACUUGGCAGAACCUUAAGGGUGGGAGAAAUGGAAUGAAUAGUAGCUGUGGAUAGGUCUCCUUAUUGCCCUGGGAGGAAGACUUCGUAGGAGAGGAAGUUGAAAGAGGGUCUUGAGAAAGGGGGUGAGAUCUUCAAAGGCUGGGUCUAGCCAUGGGAAACUAAGUGAAAGAAUUUUUUUUUAAGUUGAUCAGGAAGAGAAAAAGAAAUGCACCAAGUGUUUGGCCAGGCGGAUGCUGACCUUGGUUAUGACUGGGUGGGAUUGCCAUUGCUGCAAGUUGAUGGCACUUAACAGUUUUCUAGGGACUUUCACAUACGCAGCAGCCCCUGGAAGUCCUGGAAGGAGGUUGAUGAUGUUGCAGCCCAUCGAGGGACCAGAAAAAUGUUGUGUAAUUAUGAAGACCUGUUGCCUUAAAACAAUUCGGAUCCAAAUAGGCUGACUUUAUCUUCAACUCAAGUAGUGUGGCGGGAGGGGGCUCUGCCCUGUUGGAAAGGCAUCCCUCUGCCCUCUGUGGCCAUCACUGAGCUCCCUGUUGUUUUCGGUGAGCUCUGACUAGAUGUUUUCCCUGUCAAUAUUUCACUAAUGUGUCAUAUGAAUUAUUUGUGUUAUCUCUGUGCUGUGAAAUUAGAGGCCUUCACCCACAGUGUGGUAAGUAGAUUAAAAGGAAAGCCUGUUUUUUAUGGUGUGGGCGAAACUGGGAAAAUAUCAGGGAAAUAUUUUGUGUGUGUUUGAUCUGACAGUGGGAAGGCCUUGGGAUGCCAGUGUCUUCUAAAACCUGAAAGCUGAGCUCCGGCUGGAGUUUUCUUCAAAGGGGUUUAUAUUUUAUCUGUUGGCACUUCUGAGCGGAAGGAAGGUUUGGAAUGGGAGAUUCUGUGAUGAUCCUUUUUUUUUUUUUUUUUUUGCUGUUGUUUUCUUCUCUGUCUUUUUAACUUUGCAGAAAGCCCUUCCAGUUAUACACUCAGACCCUGUUCAGGACGUUGGUGGCCAAACAGUCCCCUUUUGUUAAGCGAGCGUCCCAUUUUUGUUUCUCUUGAAAGGUGCCCUCCAGGACAGCAGAGCCUUUCUUUGGGCUGUUUAUAAUUGAGCCCUGAAGAAAAACAGAAAUCAUUCUAAACCCAGGCCAAGUGCCUCCUUGGCCUAGCUAGGCAAAGCUAAACUCACACAAGAUGAAAUCUAACCAGCUGGUUACCUGAGAACCACCUUCGGGAGUUCUCCGGCUUGACUGCUUUCGCCUUGGCCACCAUCUCGAGCUCCAGCGACAGCUGAGGGUCAGGGCCUCUCUGUGCAGAAGAGUAGGAAGAGAAUCAUAGCUGUUGGUGAAGGUUAGGUUGCAUUGUUUGAAAGGGUCCUAUGUCAGCUUGCAAAAUGCUAUGGAUCUGUAAGAAUCCUGAAAGAAAUGGGUUGGAGAAGAAAUUUAUGACCGUAAGUCUAGUUGUCUUUGAGUGGUGCAAUUUAGCCAGGAAUUUUUCCUCUUUGCGGCUCAAGGUUUCAAAAAGUUCCCUUUUAAAAAAUGCGUGUGUAUCUAUUUUUUUCUUAGUUUACAUAAAAGGGUAUUCAUAGCUUUAGCCCACCUUGACAUACUUCUGUCCUUUCUCUUUUUGCCUUUUUCUUUACACAAAUUAGGAGUCAUUUGAGAAAAUGAGGCAUAUAUAGGAUUUGAUAAGUUAGAGGUUGUGCAGUUUCGAAUUAUUUUAUUUUAUUCUGUUAUAAUAGGUAUGGGGGUAACCUUCAGGAAUCGAAAUGGAAUCUUUUUUCCCUGUUCUCAAAUUAUCUAGUUUAGGUCUUAGACUCGCCUUAUUGCCUAUAAGUACAGCCUUCAGUUUUGGAAUUUUUCUUUCCAUUUUAGGUAUCAGCUGGGUCAUUUAGAUGGAAUAGGAAACAGUACUGGGCAUUGUCAGAGAAAGACUGGCUAUAAAAGUUCUGAUCCCUGUGGGCAGUUUGGAGUCUUCUUAAGUGUAAGAUCAUCAGUAUACUUCAAUUCUGAGCUUCUGCACAUGCUGGUUAGUGAAGCUCUGCCCUUCCUUGUUAACUGCACAUUUUAACAUCUAUGUUUCUAGAGGAGACACCUGCCUCUUGAGGGAACCCUCAGCAUCCCGGGAGCAUCUGUCCAACUGGCCCCUGUACACACAGAGACCUGAAAAGUGAAGCAGUUUCGAGACAGGCAUCACUUUAAGGCUGAAGUACAUUUUAGAAAGUUAGGGACUGGUUCUGUGGCGGGGAAGUUGAGCUAAAUAUGCAGUUCUAUUUUAAUUUUCACUUUAUGCCAAGGCAAAAGCAUUGGGAGAUAGACUAUAAAUGUAUAAGUAAGUCAGUGCAAGAAUAGCCCCUUGCAAAAUGCAGAUUUAGGGAGGCUAAAUAUUUUCUCACAUACUUUAAUGCACAUGAAUAACCCCUGAUCGAGUUCCUGAGAAAGGGAUGUUGUGUAACCAUUUGACCUUGAUCACUGUAAUGAGUUAUACAGAGGUCUGCACAACUGUACAAAAGUAAAGUAUUUGGCUGUCUUAGUUAGCUCAGGCUGCUAUAACAAAACACCAUCAACUGGGUGGCUUAAACAACAGACAUUUAUUUUCUCACAUUUCUAGAGGCCCCACCUUCUAAUACCAUCACACUGAGGAUUAGCGCUUUAACAUGUAAAUUUUAUGGGGACACAAACAUUCAUUUCAUAACAUAGGUUGAUGCCUAAAGCAUACUAAUAAUUUACAGGGUGGUUGGUUUGUCUCUAAAAAGUUAAAAUUUUUUAGCUUUGUCAUUUGUUUGUUUCAACAGAGUUGUAUUUUCCUAUGUGUAUUUUAUCUUAGGCAUGGUCACCUCUCUUCCUAUUCCUGUACUGUUUGAAAUCACAGUAGUGAAACCCAAGGUAAUUAAGGCUGGGGUAUCAUUGUUUUAAAUUAGAGUGUGUGAAUUUUUUUUUUUUUUUGUAAUUCAACAACAAGUUCCUUCAUAUUGUGCAUAAUUGGAUCACAUUUUAAUUUUGUGGCAAAUAAAGAUCUAUUUUACAUUUCUAUUAGAAAGACAAGCCCCUGUGGCGAGCUCUGAAUUAGGAUGUUGGCCAUUAGAAGUACUGAAGCAGUGAGGCUUUUAGAGCUGAUUCAGCUUCUGAAAAACUCAUCUGUGAAUCUUUAGGGUAAGGAAAGAACCUUCAAUUUAAAGCUUAUAAACAGCCAUGGAUUUUACCUAAAAACAAAUACUGAGAAGACAAGAAAACGAAAAAUAUAAGUACUAACGCAAGCAGAGAAUAACCAAAUCAUGGGUUAUCCAGUAUGAUAUAUACCACAAAAACAUUCUGGUCAUUGAAUCAGGCACAUCUGUUUGUGAGGAUAUUUUAUUAUCUUUAUGGUUAAUGCCCUGAGUGUUUAUGUGAAGCAAAAUAAUGAAGACAAAUUGUGAAGAAUACACUGGACAAGUAACCAGGAGGCCUCGGUUCUGAUCCCAGCCCACCAUUAAUUAUGUAAGUGGCUCUGGGCAAAUGGCUUUCACCCUGAGACCUCACCUUCUCCUUAGUACAGAGAGGCACUGAACUACAGCUUCCUGCCAGCUCUGAUAUUCUAUAAUCCUGUGAUUUUUAAAGGAACCACCAAAGAAUAUACUUCUUUAUUCAUUCCAACUUUAAAAAAAUUAUUAUUGAAGCAUAAUUUACUUACCAUUACAUUCACCCAUCUUAAGUAUACAAUUCAAUAAUUUUUAGUAAAUUUAUAGAGUUGUACAACCACCACCACAGUCUAGUUCAACAUUUCCAUCAGCCCCAGAAGAUCCACAUGCCCGUUUGCUGUUACUCCUCCUUCCUAGCCCUAGUCUAAGACAGCCAUUAAUCUGUUUUCUCUAUAUAUAGAUUUUCCUUUUCUGGACAUUUCAUUUAAGUGGAAUCAUAUACUAUGUGUUCUUCUGUGUCUGCCUCCUUUCACUUAGCAUUGUGUUUUGGGGGUUUGUCUAUGUCAUAAAAUGGAUCAGUACCUUGGUCCUUUAUGUUGCUGAAUAAUCUUCCAUUAUGUGGAUGUAUCACAUUUUGUUUAUUCAUUCAUCAACUGAUAGACUCCUUUCUCUUCCUUUCCUACCCUUGGAGCGCUUCCCCUCCUCUUGCCUACCCCCAUACUGGGAAAAAACAGGUCUCUCUUAGAGAAAUGCGAGGUCUUUAUUUCAGGCCUUCCCUUGCAGAAGAGGCCGGAGCUUUGUGUUUUAAACCCUUCCAAGUCAGUAGAUUGAGCUGGCUGGGUCAUUGAAAAUGUGAUUAAGCAGCUAUGUAGUAACUAUCAGUAAUGUGAAAGCACUAGCUGUAGGUACUUUUCCUUGCUAUGUGAUUAAUAUGAAUGUAAGGUUUCUGCGUUAGGGAACUUGACUCAAGCUUUCCCAAUGACAGCCUGUUUGUUGUUUUGCAUUUAUUUUACACAUUGGAUGAAGUAUUUGGAAGCAAGAGUUAAGGACACUGGCUGUUAACCUAACUUAGUAAUGUCACUUUCAGGAUUUUUCUCUGGAAGUCAUCAGAAUUAUCAUGAACAAUAACAAACCCACAGAGGGAAACAGCCUCAUACUUUGCUUUUCAGCUCGGAAUCACGAAGACUGCCAAAUGUAAUUGUGAUGAAAAGGUAGAUGUGAUGAGAAGAGGACUGAGCUAAGUCUUGGGGCUGUUGAUUUCUUUAAAGAGAAACCAUAGAGAAGACAACUCUAAUGUAUUAAUGUGUGUUGUUCUUUUCAUGUUGUGAGUGAAACCACGAUGUGCACUUCCAUUUGCUGAGCUUCUAGCUAAUGGAGGGUAGCAAGUCAGUAUUCUGGAUGCUCCUCAAAUGAUUCUCUCAUUUAAAACCUAGCUCUGGAAAUGUGGUUAAUCUGUAGUAUGUUUUGAGCCUCAGCUGUUCUUAGGUCCAUUUAACUUCCUGGAAUCCAUCCUUGGCUAGCACGUCCUGUAGGAUGAAGGAGAAAGUCUAUUCCAUUUGCCUUUCUCAUCUUCACAUGUGUGGUAAAUAUGUUUUGUAGGCUUUCUCUAUUAUAAAUUUCAGAAAGGUUGGGCCCAACAAGUAGUAUGUGUGUGUGUGCAUGUGUGUAUAUAUGCAUGUGUGUGUGUGUAUAUAUGUAUACAUAUGUGUCUAUAUGCAUACAUAUAUAUAUAUACACACACGUAUACACAGACACAUAUUCUUCUAACUGCAUAGUGGGAUGAGGCCUACGAAAGCCAGCAGCUUGCCUCAGUUUUAUUUAGCAUGCUAAUUAUAAACAGUAUCAGUAAUAUCUUUUGGAAUUUAGGCGUUAGACUGUUCCCACUGGUGGAAGUGAUCCUUUAGAGCAUCACACCCUGCCUCUUGGGUCCUGCGAAAGCUUUGCCUUUGUUGAAUCCAUAUGGUAGGAUUCUUGUGGAGAAAGAUAAGCCAGGCCAUUGUUUAGUAAACAUCAGACCCUCCCGUGUGCUGAGCCUGAGAUCUGGCAACUGGGCAGAGAGGGCUGCUGAGGGCUGUGUGCUGCCGGGCUGGAGGAUGAGCAAACUGCAUCCAGGUGUGAUCACAUCCUUAUCCUUUUCUCCCACAGCUUUAAAGUGGUGAAAUUUUUCUUCUCUCCAUCGGGAAGGAAAUAGGAAAAAAAUGCCAUAUCUUGUUUGGUGGUCGGGGUGAAGGGCGGGAUGGUCAGCAUCCUCUUUUAUUUGGGCCUAUAUUAUGGUAUUAUCAUAGUUGAUUAUUGCUAGGAUGAUUUAUGUAGGAGUCUCUGGCUAAGUUAUGAGAUCCUUGAGAACAGGGAUGUCGUGGGGUUGUCCACGUGUUUCCCAGGGUUUUUAACACAGUGCUUUGCAUACAGCAAGUCCUCAGCUAUUGUUUUAUAAGUAGCUGAUGAAUAAAUACUUUCCAUUCAACAAACAGUAUUUGUGAAUAUGCUAGUGUUCACAAUAAUGCCUGACGCUUGCUGGGUGGCCAUGAUAUAGAAAUAAGAAUUUCUUCCUUCCUCUCUCCCUCCCUUCCUUCUGCAAUAAUCAGUUCUUAUAUUCACCAGGCACUGCACUAGGGGCUGAGGUUACAAAGAUUAAAUAAAGUAUUAUCUGCAUCCUCAAUGAGUUAAUAAGAAUGUUAUCCUAGAGUUCGGUAUGUGAUGUGAUAGUGGUUCACAAUAGUUAGGAGCUCUUAUUGAUAGCUUAAUCUGCUCUAGGUUCUGAACACACUGGGCUCAGUCCUUAAAAUUCUCACUGCGUCUUUAGGAAGCAAGAAUUAUGAACCCCAUGUUGCAGAUUAGAGGACCGAGGCCUAGAAGAGUUGCUGAGUCUGAGUCCAGAAGGUUGCUCUCGACCAUGGCUCGUGCCUCCUACCAUACCACCAACCCCAGGUCCCCAUCCCCUUCCCCUGACUGCAUUAAAUGUGUCUCCGUAACAGCCCCAGCACCCUGGCUUCCCUUUUCAUCUGUGUGUGUGCCCUUCUCCAUGUGUGGAGGUGGGAGGUAGCAAGCAGCCUAAGCAAAUGGAGCUCCUUGGAGUUGUGCAGUGUUCAGCCAAGUCAGCUGACCACAGCUGCCCCUAGAGAUUGUUUUUCUACUUUCUCUUGCCCUCUGGCUGUUCCUGUGCCAGCUCCUUCACUCUUCUGGUUGCAGGUUUUCCUUUCAUUCCUUAGGUAUCCUGUUGCCCUUCCUAGGCCUGAGACGGAUGUGCUAGAGAACUCCGUGAGAUUUUACUCUCUUCCUCACUGUCUUAGCUGACUUCCGGCUGACUAGACAAAGCGAAACUCUGAUCUUGCUGGAGGAAUUCCUGCGUGCAAUCCUGACAAGUAACUUUAACCAAUUGUUGAGAACAACCUGCGACUGUGGCUUGGCAGAGGCGUGUGCUGUGUACUGUGAAUACGAAAGAUGCAGAGUUUAUGACACGGCAGGACCCUUGAACGCAAGGUGGACAUAUCCUCAGAAUUGCCCCCCACCCUCGCCAGCUCUACCGGUGCUUUGCAGCUCUAACAAGAGCUGCUAACAGAGAAGUUGCUGAAGUUGGCAUUGGCUGAGGAAUGGCUUUAUUCAGCCAGGCUCUGUGGGCUUGCUGCCCCUUUCUGGAUGCUGUCCACACAAGAAAAGCCAUAAUUAUUACCAUGGACUCUUCUCUGGCUCACUGCUUUUAUAAGAAGGGGAAAAAACUCAAACUUCAGAAGAGUUAGAAAGCCUUGUCUGGGCCCACAUAUGACACGUUGAUAUUUUGGGGCAGGAUUUGGCCCAGCGUAGGCCAAACACGAGAACAGCAAUGGUGCCGACCAGCACAUUGAAGUUUUUAGAUUGAAAAGCCUGAACAGAAUGUUCGGCUGGAGCUGGGGACAUAUUCCUUUCCUAUUUUAUCUCUUCCAUAAGCCUCAGGGCUGAUUGGAAAAUACACCCACUGCAGGAUUUGGAUAGCCAGGAUUUUAUGUUUAUUUCUUAGACCUGUUCACGCACAGUCUCAAUUUCUCUUGCUCGCUCUCUCUUGCGCAUACUUUUUGGGUGGAAGUCUGAAAGCUGCAUGUCAUAAUACCAGUGAGGAAGUGCUCUUUUCCCUUAUGGAACAGUGCUCACUUUUCUGACAUGGACACUGGGACCAAAGUGGAUUUUUGGAAAUGCAAAUCUCAUAUCUCAUGUUCUUGCUUAAAACCCUACAUUGGAUUCCGGUUGCUCAUAGAAUAUAAUUCAAACCCUCUAACCUGGCCUCAGGUGUCCCCUGUCCAGCCUUCCAGACUCAUCUUUCAUCUGUCCUUCCCCUACUCACAUACGUGCUCGCCUUUGUAGCCAUACUGAACUUUGGUCCUCCAACAUGCUCUGCAUUCUCACCUCCAUGUGCUUUCCCUUAUACCUGUGUUGAUUUAUCUGCUCUGAUUUAUCCACUCAUUGAUUGCCAUUACAAUCGAUUUAUCCACUCAUUCAUUUAAUAAGCAUUUAUGCAGCACCUCCUAAGUGCCAGUUACUGUUCUGAAUCCUGGGGAUACAUUCGUGUGAAGACAGACGAGGGUCCUGCUGUCAUGGAGUUCACAGUCCUCACUUGCUAAUUCCCACCCAUCUGGUGAGUCUCAGCUUGGAUCUCCCUCUUCCAAGAAGCUAUCCUUGACUUCUCUCCUCUGGAUUUGACAUCAUUCCUUUGCCCUCUAGAGCACCUGUAUUUUCUGCAUUACAGCGCUCACAACUCACCUGAAUUCACAGUGUUGAGCUCCUUGAAAGCAGAAACGUUCCUUGCCCAGGCUGGCACAUAGUGGGUACUCAGUCUGUUGAAGGAAUGAAGGAAGGAUGCAUUUGACACUAAGCAGCCUCAGUGAAAAAAUAGGUACUCUCUGCAAACAUUUUGAACAAAACUCAUUCUCCACAUUGUCAACGGCUUGGCAGUGGCCUUUGACCAGUAGGAGGCAUCUAAUGUUGCGGAUGAUAAGUUUGCUGUCAGUCAUAUUGUUGUUCCUUUGCAGGUAAUUUGUCUUCCUGGUUGCUUUUAAGAUUUUCUCUUUCUUUGGUGUUCUGCAGGGUCACUAUGAUAUGUUUAAGCAUGGAUCUAUUUAUUUAUUCUGCUCAAGACUUGUGCUUGUUCAUUGUGAAGACUCAUGUUUUCCUUUAAUUCUAGAAUGUUCGUGGACACUUUUGUCUUUUCUUAAUCUUUUUUUCUGAAGCUUCUGUUGGAUAUAUGAGUGAUCUACUCAUUUUAUCCCGUUUCACUUCUUUUAUAUCUUUUAUCUCCUUUUCUGUCUGUCUCAUGUUUCAGGCAGUUUCCUUGGUUCUUUCAGAAUGGUUCACUCAUUCUAUCUACUCUGCUGUUUAAACUGCCUAUUGAAAUUCCUAAAUGGUAGUUUAAUAUACAUGAAGUGAUGAUGGUUUUACAUGGGAAAACACUCAUGAAACCAUCACUCAGAUCAAGACAGAGAACAUUUCUAGCUCCCCUGAAAGCCCCUCUGAGGCAAUAUCCUCCCAAAGCUAGAUGCUUUUCUGUCUUCCAUCAUCAUAGAUUAGUUUUGCCUCUUAUUGAAUUUCACAUAAAUGGAAACAUGCCAAAUGUGUUCUUUUGUGUCAUGUCCUUUGUGUAAUUUUAAGUGACUAUGUUUGUCUGUCCUUUCUAGAAUUUUUUAAAACUUGCCUAUUUUUUGGUCAUAGUAUUCUGUUCCUUCAUUAUGUUUUCUAUAUCUUCUUCUUUAAAACUUCUUAAAAAUAUUCAGACUUGCUUGUUUUAUAUUAAUACUAGUCAAUUAUGUCAAGUACUUAAGGUAUACUAAUUUCUGUUAUUUGUAUCUUACGUAUAGUGAACUUGUUCCUUAUAUGAUUGUAAUUUUUGACUGUAAAAUCAUCUUCAGCAGAAAUUAUUUUUCUCACUGAGUACUGUGUUUCUUGGGUUGUACAAGUGUCUCUAUCCUGCAACACAGGGUAGUGGAAAUUCAGAGCCUAAAUACGUUUGCAUAUUCCAUAGGUUUAGGAUUUCAGCUUCUCAUAUGGGCCUACUUUUUUUUGUUUGUUUGUUUGUUUUUGUUUUUUCUACCUGGAAUUCCAGGUAGAUGGCAAGUUCCUUUUUUACUUCCUUGGGCAAGGGGUAGAGUUUUUCUAGUCUUUCUUACAUGAAGGGGUUUGUUUUUCAAGGGUACUCUUAAAAUAGGCAUCUGAAUUCUAGCUUCUGGCCAAGCGAGGCUGCAAGAUCUCAUCUCCUGCUCCUAUGAGGUUGUUAGCACCACAGGCCCUACCCUCCUAGGGUAUGUGUAGAUGAAGGUGAGUGCCCCUGACCCAGGCCAGCAUUGCAUCAUCUGUACGUUUCUUCUUAUUCUUUUUGCUUUGAUUCUAGCCUCUGUGUUCCACUCUAAGUUUUUGCAUCUGGUAAGUUUGUGUAAAAGGUUAUUGAGGCCCAGACCUACUGAAUUUAAACCUCUAGAAGAAGGACCCAAAAACCUUAUGUUUUUAAGAAAUGCUGCAGGUAACUAUUAAGAUCAAGUAGGGUUGGGCCGGGAGCAGUGUCUCAUGCCUGUAAUCCCAGCACUGUGGGAGGCUGAGGCAGGCGGAUCACGAGGCCAGGAGUUUGAGACCAGCCUGAUGAACAUGGUGAAACCCCAUCUCUACUAAAAAUACAAAAAAAAAUUAGCUGGGCAUGGUGGUGCGCACCUGUAAUCCCAGCAACUUGGGAGGCUAAGGCAGGAGAAUCGCUUGAACCUGGGAGGCGGAGGUUGCAAUAAGCUGAGAUCGCACCACUGCACUCCAGCCUCGGCAACAGAGUGAGACUCCGUCUCAAAAAAAAAAAAAAAAGAUCAAGCAGGGUUGAUAAAUAUUAAAAGUUUGAGAAAUAGAAAUAUCAUAUUACAUAUAUAGAUAUUACAUCGAAUCUAAUAGUCAGUUCGAUUUCGCUUGUAAUGUUAUGAGGAACUAAUUUGUUCUUUGUGUUUUCCAUUAUCUUACCUCUAAUAUCAUACCCUUGCAAAAGUAAGCAUGGAAAUGUCUAAUCUGGAUAUUCAGGAAAAAAUGUAUUGGUCUCAUUCUAUUUUGAGUUAAAUUAAUCUUUCCUAACCUAUGGUUGGAGAAGGCCCUAUGAGACAGUGUUUCACUGGUUUCUGUCUCUGUGUUUCAUCAGAAAAAUAGUGAUAACCAAGUGGUGUGAAAACUUCUGAAGAACAAUAGAAAAAAAAUUACUAAGCACUUUAGUUAAUUCAGAAAUAUUUCCUGGAAAAAUUUGAGUUAAUGUGCAAUGUUUGAAAAACCUUGUGCAGUUAAGUGCCCACGAGACUGAAUCUGACUCGAGGCAAAUCACCCAAUUACUGUCAGGGAAUGAAAUCAUGUUUACAGAGAAACCUUCAGACUCUCCUCCUGUUUCAUAUCUUCACCUGUUUUUGCUUAGAGCAUGAUUGUGUUGCUUUUGGGACCUGGUUCCAGGUUUAUGUCUUAGUGGUUUGUUUGACCUGACUCCCCUAACCCAGGCCUCUCCAACAAAUGGCUACCUUGGGAUACAAGAAACUGCGUGUAAUUCUUUCCCUUUAUUUUGAGUGAGGAGCAGGUUCAUGGGUGUGCCAGCAAAUGCACAGAGACUUUGACAUUCACAGCAUUUGAUAAGAUUGGUCAGCCUGGCCUGACUUUGCUUGGGUACCUGGGACUGUGAACAGCUAGCUACCCAUUCUUUGGGUUUGUGUGUGGAGCUUCCAAGAAAUGCCUUAACUUUCCAAAUAAAAACCUGAAUAUAAUUCAAAGGAUGGCAUGAAAGAUAAUAAUUGUUGUGCAGCCUAAUUUAGGAAAAGUCAUUUAUUUGCCACUCUGUUGCUGUGGAAAAAUAUGUAGUCUUCUGCAUUUGUUAAAACAAGUCGGCUUCCGCUUUCUGGUCUCAAAACACACUUUGCAUUUUUUUUUCCCUGGGACCGUCAAUUUAAUUCAGGAAUGAUCUAAUUAUGAGAAAGUGAAUCCAGUCCUCUGGAUGAUAAGUGUUGACUACCCUGGGAGAAGCCCUGGCAGAUGGUUAGUUCAGAGUGAAUCUACCUUGGGAUUGGGGCAUUAGACUGACAGCUUUUUUCACUCAAUUAAGUGCAACAACUGCCAAAAGGACAGCAUUGAACUUGAUGCAAAUCACGGCCGUCUCCGAUGUUGAUAAAGUUUAAGCCUGUGCCCUCCUGAGUCAGCCAAACUUCUUAGAGUGUUUCAAGGUGCCACAAUUGUGAACAAAACCCCAAACCUAGUGAGGCACAGGGAAGACUAGGAGAGCCCUCCUUUAAAAUGUAGGUAUUUAUUUCCUUUUCCAGGUCAGUUGCUUUAUUUAGGGCCUCUAUUUUGGUGUCUUGUCUGUCAGUGAUUCAUUUGGUAUCUCCUGCAGUUUGCUUUUGCUCUGGGCCCCGAUGGAUCCUGCGGUGACUCUAUGUUCCAGAAAGUUAAUUUAUUGCCCUUUUAUUUGGGGUACAACAUGACACCACUCUGCAUGCCUUUGCCUGCCCUGGAUGGCCUCUCAACACCCUGAAAGGCAGGGUCCAAAAAGGAGCGAGAGCUUCUCAGUGUGCCUGCACGUCCCUACUCGUGAAGCCCCAUAUAGCUUUCUAGGCCAUUCCUCAGAAAGUCAGUUGAUGCCAGAAACGAAGCAGAAUGACUCUUUUCCCGACUCUCCUGUCAAGGUGGAGCUCUGAUAGACCCCAGUCCUUACCACAACUUUGAUUUCUCUGUGUCUCUUUCUGUUCCCCAAGGAGUUUCCUCAUGUCACCCCUGACUUACUGCUCUAAUUCUGUGUUGACCAAGGUCAGGACCCAUUAAGAUGUUUCUGAAGAGUGUAACAAGAAAGGGCACCCUGCAAAACAAGGUCUUGGAGAAGGGUCCUUGAGACAGACUCUUGCUUCACCUGUCCCAGGCCUUUCUCACCCUCCACCCUUCACCCAGGUGUAUCCCAGUCCCCGACAGCACGGCACAGCUCGUUCUGUGUUGUUAUUUCUGUUUUACAAGCCUGGGGAAUCCUGAAAUUCCUCAGUCAGGUAUAUGCCAUUGUCAGCCUGUUAUCAGUUUCCUGAUUUACUGUGUAAGCAGUUUUGAUAAUCCUUGUCAUAUGUGAUUACAUUUCCCCCCCUUCCCAUAACAUCUCAGUGUAAUUGGUUUGAUAAACUAGACCUCAGUCCAGUAGUUUGCUUGCAAUAUAUUUUCACCUUCUAUCUGUGUGACUAAGAUGGUUUUGAAUGGCUUUGCAUGGAGAAAAUCAGGCUUUGAGCACCAGGUCCUUAGUUUCGGAAACAAAUCACCCAGGGCAGGCAGCACAGGUCUGGGAGAGCUGGGAAUCCCAGUUAAGCCUCAGGAGUCAAAACGGGAUUUUUCUUUCUUUCCCUGCUUGGGCCGAGAGUAGUGUGUGUUUCUUUGUGUGGGUUUUUUGGGAUACAGAGAAUAUUUAUCUUGUACAUCUGUAUCUGAUUCCUGGGGCCAUUGGACUAACUUCUUGUCCAUAAAAAAUUGGAUUCGUUCGUGUAUUCAUUUAUUGAAUAUCUGCUUUGUUCCAGGAGUCCAUGAGGAAAAGAAGCUUUAUUUUUUUCUCAUUUUUUUUUCCCUUUCUUUCCUGCCCCUAUUGGCACUGCUCCCGAGAGCAGAGAAGGAAUAAUCAGUAUGCUUUGAAAAUGAGGCAUUUUUGGUAAAUUAAGCAUUUGGGUUAAUUUAGGGUUAAAUUAAAAUGCAAAAGCUACUUGGGGCCAUCACUUGCUAACUUUUCUUUGUCUGAUAAUUCAGCACCUAACAGAGUUCUAAGGCUUCGCAGAGAAGGCAGUUUUAGAAUUGAGAUGGGAAGAAUGAAUAAGAUUUAGAAAAGGAGAGAUGGGCUAGCAGGUGGUGAGAGAAGGGCCUUCCUGCUCCUAGGAGGGAAGAGCCUCAGCAAAGGCAGGAAGGCUGGAAAGCCUGGGUAAGGAGAAUGGACAGGGCUGCUGGCGGGUGAGUGAAAGAAGGAGGAGUUAAGGGAAAUCAUAGGAAUUAGUAUGGAGAGUAAGCCUCUUGAUUACUGGGCUCUGGAAUUUGAAUUUAAGUUUACAGGCAGUCGGGAGCCCUCUGAGGUUUUUGAGUUGGGGGUGGCAUCAGCUGAACUACACUUCCAGAAAAUAAAUAGGUAUCAGUAUAUAUAGUAGUUGUCUUUUUUUUUUUUUUUGAGAGAAUAUAAUGCAGGCCAAAGCUUUAUCUCUACUCAAAUAAAUAAUUAUUUCAAAGAAAUAUCGUUUUAGAAUUGAACAUUUUUGGGUAAUACUUCUUUCCAGGACAUGAAUUUUCCUACAGUCGUCCUUGAAAAUUUCUGUUCAGUCUAGUUUCAAAGGAUGGAAGCUGCGUACCUUUUGUUGGCAUAUCCUCCUAGUACAAUUCUGCGGCUGGUAUUGCUCAUUCCCGAACAUCCAUGAUGAGAAUGUUUAGCAAAUGCAGAUGUGGAUAUGACAAAGAUGAGAAUGUGGGUAAAUCAUCAGCACUCAAGUCUCCUAGAUCUAGGUUAUCUUCCUAGAUCUAAAUUUAAAGUGGGAUUGGAAGAUGUUACAAUGGUUUAUUUUACACGAGCCAGACCCACUCUUUUAAAAGAACCUGGCUGUCUGCUUAUACCUAGACUGCUGCUCUCUUUAUUUAACAUUUUGGUAUUUUGCUCAUCAUGGAUUGUUUGCAUCCAUAUCAAUUUUUUUAAAUUUGCACUAAAAUGUUAUUUAUCUAGAUGGCUGAGUUGUUUGGGAUCCCCUUAAAUCCUGCGCCUGAGAUGAGCGUCUCACUUGCUUCCUCUAGUCUGGCCCUGUUGCGUUUAUAAAACAGAGUGGAAAAUCUUUCAAAUGCUCUGAGUCAUUUGAGCAUCUCUUCGAGUCUACUCACAUCCUUGUGGAAUAUGUCCCUGAUACCACACAAAACAAGCAGCAGCCAAAGCAGUACCACUCUCCAGCCUCCCUUGAACCCCCUGGGAGGGAUCUUCCCUUCAGCGUGUGGUGGUGGGCUCUUCCCUGGUUAUACCCUCUCCCUAAGGCAUUGAGAUGUGCAUGGAGAGACACCUGAGAAGUGGGAACCUCCUCGUUGUGCUUGACUUCACCAGGUCUUUUUGGAUGGGAUCCAGGACAAACCUGUUUCGUAAUGAGUUCGUCUGGGUAGGAGGUAGGAGGAUUGGAAACAUGGCCCAUGGGAUUGAUAUUUUUUGACAUCUUGACGGUUCCCAGUGAAUGUCCUUCUCUCAGCCUCACCUGACGGAGCCCGGUUUAGAAUGAGAGGUUACCUACAGAGUUAUUCCUUGUCUGUAGUGAAUAUAGAUCUGCCAAUGAAACCAGAGGGAGAAAUGAGAGAUUUGGAAGGGACCACCAGAGAGUUAACCCUCAUCCCUUAUUUUCCAUCUGGCAAACCUGAGGUGCAGGAAGAUGGAUGGGCUCCUCGUGAGCCACAUGACCGGCGGUGCUUAGAACUCAGGCCGCGGUUCGGCUCUUGGCAGGCUUCUCCACACCAUGGGAACGGGGGAGCCCUUGCCUGGAGACGGGAUCCACUUUGUUCUCCCUGUAAGGCAACCUGUUAUUAAAGUCUCCCCCUGAUUCUGGGUUUCAGUGCCUUUCUUUCCAAACUACAUUAGGCCCCCUAAGUGCCUUUAUUGCCAUGUAGGGAGAGGGAAAAUGCAGACAGCUUUGUAAUUGAACAACCAUGCUCUUGUCAGUAGUCAUUGUUUUCAAACCAGCUAUUACAGGGGGCUAAGGCCCGGGUGUGGCACCGGGAAGUAACGCUGGCCUUCUGCACCUUGCUGCCUGAACAGCUCCCUCAUCGGCUUUCCCCUGUGGUCCCUGGGGCAAUAUGUCUUUAAAUUUUUGUUGUUUCCUAAGUUCUGCUCUGGCAAGCAAGCUCUGCCUUAAACCUGCAGAGUUAAAUUUACCCAGACUGACAACUGUAUAUGCAGGGUUUAGUUACAUAACAGCAGUUGCUGCUUUUCACAUCAUGCUAAUCCAAACACGGUGCUCAAAGAGAUCAGGAAAAAGCAGCCCUCCGUUUGAUGCGCUGCACGGGUGACUGGAUUAUGUGUCUUAAAAUUUUUUUAAAACACUGUAACAAUUAUUCCAUUAUUCUGACUUUGGUGCCAUUAGGUGACUUUUUAAAUAUCUUAAUUAUUAGGUAAGCAGAUGCUCUGUGCACAUGUGCAAUUUGUUAAUUUAUGCUGUUUGAAAUGAAAUCCAGUUGUUUGAGACAUAUUUCAUAAUAUUAUGGCUAACUGAGUCGUAGUGCUACUGGAAUUACAAAGCUGCUAGCAGGGAAAGCGUGUGCGUUAGCCUCAUGUACUCUCUGAGAAUCACGCAAGUGCUGCUUGUGCAGCUUCUCAGUGCCUCCUGUCUCCUCAGUUUCCUUCUGAGAAGAUCAUUAGAUCUUUGCAACCUGUAAUGGGCUUGUGAGGCCAGGCACAGGACCUUCAGAACUGCUGGAAUGCUGGAGAAGGAGGCUUUUCCAUCCCUAAAUAGUCCUGGCUUAUCAGGUAAACUGCUGAGCUGCUAAGUUGUCACACGGACUCAGGGGGUCUGAGGAUUGGUGAUGCAAGCUACUGGUUGAUGAUAGUCUGAUAUUGCAGCUAUUCAGCAUAAGCUGCUACCCAGCUCUUCAAGUUACCCCUAAAUAUUUAUUGAGUAGUUACUGCCUGCAAUAUUGGAUAGAUGUGAUAUAAUGGGGCAAAAUUACGUAACUUUUGGGGUCAGAUCUGGAUUUGAAUUGUGACCCUUGGUUUACUAUUAGGUUGGUGCAAAAGCAAUUGUGGGUUUUGCUACUAAAAUAGCAGUGAGGCCUUAGGGGCCAAGUCAUUUUGUCUCUUUAAGGCUCAAUUUCUGCAAAAGGAAUAGACAUAUCUGUCAAGUAGGCUUAUUGAUCAAGAUUAUAAAAUGACCAACAUUGUGCUUUUCACGUACAUAUUAGGUGCUCAGUAAGUGGUCAGACAUUUCGUCCCUUUUGACACUCGUGGGAUGUGGCCUCAGGAGCUUACCAUCUAGAUGAAGAGGCAAAGUGUCAGUAGGCCCUGAGUUAAAUAAAGGCACAGAGUAAUACGAGAAAUGUCACAAAUAGGCUGUGACUCAUUGACUAGUGAGUGGUAUAGACCUAAAAUUCAGUGAGUUCAAAGGAGAAGAUAGAUCACUAGGUAAGCUUCUUAUAAAUGUGGAUCUGACCAGUUUUGGAAGGAUGAAAAUUUGGACAGGUGGAAAGACUGCUGGGGGUUGUGUGUGGAGAAGGCCGGCAACUGCUUAUCAAUGGGGUCAAUAGUAGGGUCAAAGCACAGAGAUGAAGAGGCUGAGGUCCAUGUGGAAAACAAUGAGAAUAUGCAUUUGUUCUGGGAGUCAUGGUUUGUGUGUAAUACAUAGUGGGAUUGAUUAGAACUGUAGAUCGGAACCCCUCUGUGGAGAACUGUGAAUGCCAGGUUAAGGAAAUCCUUGCCGUAUCUAGUGUGGUUUGGUUUGUUGAAGCAUGGAGCUCUGGCUAGACCUGCAGACCUCUGGGAAGAGCGAACCCAUGAAUGUGGAGUAGACCUCUAGUGGCUGAGAGAGUUACUGCAACCCUUAAUGGUAUGAAUCUUGUUUAAUGCAUAACUUUCACGAGCUUGGCUGCACUGUAUUAUAUAUUGGAAGCUGAAUGUAAGUAACAUCCAUCCUGACAGCAGUAACAGCUGACAACCUAAAAUCUUACAGAGUCAGAAGAACUACAGAAUGCAUUUUUUAAAAAGACCGGGGCUAUUUUGGGAUAAGGUAAAUCCACCUGUAUACCUCUUUAGAUCCUAAAGACAUCACUGUGUCACAAAAAAAUCAUAAUUGGUGAUGUUGAAAUAACAACAUUAACAAUAUUAUUAUUAUUAACAACAACAGCAACUAAAGGGCUUUUUUUUUUGUUCUGGUGCUAUAUUAAUCAUUUUACUUGCAUUGACUUAAUUCUCACAGCACUUCAAUGAGAAUGGUACUGCAAUUAUCUCUAUAUUACAAGGUGAAAACGCCAGCUUAGAAAGGUUAAUUAACUUGCCCAAGGUCACACGAUUGGAAAAUUAUAUGACUGGAAUACAAACCCAGGCCGUGUGGCUCUACCUGUGUUUUAGAAAUCCUCUAUACCACCUAAUAACCUCCAAGCCUUAGGCCAUGAUGAAAUAAGGUUCAGGAAGCCCUUUUACUGCCACGCUGAAAUGUACAAUGUUGCAUUCAAAAAUAUGAACCGUGAAAAAAUAGACAAAUGGCCAUUGUCUAUGGAAUGAUGUAUGUGGAAUACUGCCUUCUCCACCAAUAUGGUCGAAGUGAGGAAGUGUUACAGCUUUUUUUUUUUUUCCUCCUAGGCUGGAGUGCAGUGGCACAGUCUUAGCUCACUGCAACCUCGACCUCCCGGGUUCAAGCGAUUCUCCUGCCUCAGCCUCCCGAGUAGCUGGGAUUACAGGCAUGCACCACCACUACGCCCGGCUAAUUUUUUUGUAUUUUUAGUAGAGACAGGGUUUCAACAAGUUGGCCAGGCUCGUCUCAAACUCCUGACCUCAUGAUCCUCCUGCCUCUGCCUCCCAAAGUGCUGGGAUUACAGGCAUGAGCCACCGCGCCCGGCCUGUGUUACAGAUUUUAAGUAAAAAUAAGAAAUAUGUGAUGGCUUGUUCCUACUCUUGGCUUGCACCCCAUGUGCAUUUUCUUUCUUCUCUGGGAACUUGGAAGGGCACAAGUUCAAAUGUCUCUGAAAGGCAUUCAGUUUACCUUCUGCUCUAGAACUUGAAGCAAUUUCAUUAGUGCUAUCGUUGAUUCACGUUGGACUUCGUGCGCUUCCCACGGGCCAUUCGUUAUCAGUCUUGGCCCUGCUGCAAGAGAGAGUGAAGGGCAUCUAGAGGUGCCAUUGGUAAAAGCAUACUCCCCAGGGCUAUAGGAAAUUACUGUGGAGCUGCUUCCAACUACAGCAAUUCUUGAAAAAGGGGCCGCGUUAAGAGCAACAACCCUUCCUACGUGCCCCUGGAGCCAUCCGCUAAGGUUAGUGUCUCAAGGUGGCAUAUGGUGGAAAUGCAUUAAGCUGGGACUGGUGACACUUGACACUGUCACUAUUCGUGUGACCUUGAGAAAAUGAUUGAGCCUCUCUGGGUCUCAAUUUCCACAACUGUAAAAUUACAGAAUUGUUAGGAUAUUGCAUAUGUAAAGCAAUUAACAUGAUGUUUCUUCAUAAGCAAAUGGAGCUGCUAUUAUUAUUAUUGGUAUUGGUCAUAGCUCUUUUGAGUUCAAAUGAGAAAAACAGACUCAAACUAUCUUAAGUAAAGAUGAGAAUUAAUGGGCUCAUAUAACUAGAAAGUUUAAGGAGGAGAUCAAACUUCAGGAAGGGCUGGAUCCAGGGAGUCAAAGUGUUCCUGUGUUGGCUUUUCUCUAUUCACAGGCAGUUCCUCUACAGCAAGAGACCUAAGGGAAAAAGUCUAACUUUUUCUAUAAUGAAUCCUUAAAAAAAUACUCACUAGCUUAGGCUGGUUCAUGUGACACCUCCUUCUCCACCCUGCAGCAGUAUAACUUUGUGCAGGGCUGGGAUGUAGUACACCCAGUGGUAGGACUGGGUCUUGUGCCUAUUCUUGUGGAACACAUAUAGAUUCUAAAAAUAUAUUAUUGUUUUAUGAAAGUAUAGAAUUUAGAUAGGCUAAGCUUUGCUGAAGACAGAAGUACAAGUAUUUCAGGAUGGUAGAAACAAAGUGUGAGGGGUAGGAAUUGGCAUCAUGUGUUCGGGGAUAAGUAAAAUGACGUAUAUUUGGAAUAGAUGGUUCCUAUUGGGAGUUUGAAAGAUAUAGGAGAGAGAAUAGGGGCUGGUGAGGGCGUUGAUUGUUGGGCUAGAGUUUCAUUGUUAUUCACUUGAUAACAGAGAGUCGUUGAAGGUUUCGUGCCAAGGAGUUAUAAGAUAAUAGGAAUAGCAACAACUAGUAUGUGCAAACACUGUUCUGUUGACCAAUCACUGCCAUAGGUACCUUGUCUGUUUGACCUCACAACAGCCCUGUAAGGCAAGUGUUAGCUCCGUUUCACAGAUUAGAAAAUGUAGACUGAGAUGUUAAGGGUCUCACUGGAACUCUCUGACAACCAGAGUCUCAGAGCUGGGAGGUGAACUCAAGUCUCUAGGAAACAAAUCACAUACUCAGUGAGGAGCAUGGUAGGUUGGGAUGUGUACUGGUAGCAGUGUGCAUUAUAAUCUAUUCCAUAAAUCAUUAUUCAUUGCUAACCAAGGGAAAGCAAUAGACUCACUCACUGCCUGACUGGCUUUGGGUCUCAGGGCAGUGUAGACCACAGUGAAUUGUGGCAGACACUGUCUUUGGGGUGCUUCCUGGUAGAUGAGGCAGAGCCCAGUGCUGAGCUGCAGAGAGGUCCUCAGUUACUGAGCACUGUACCCCUUAUUUUGUAGCAGGUAUGUCAUUGUUGGUGAAUGGGGUACCUGGGUCUUGGGUGCGGAUGGUAGAUAUUGUCAUCUUUUACUGAUUGUAUAGAUUUUUCCUCUACUCUGGGUAGAGUAUGCUGGAUCCCUUGUAGCCUGGUUAGGAAACUGGCAAUCCAGAGUAAUUUGCCUUUAGGCAUAAGCCAGUACAACAUGUCACUUUUAAAAUAAAACACAUUAAUUUACAGAAUGACUAUUUUAUAGCGAAGAGCAGCCUGUCUAAAUGAGAGGAAUUAAAGGCCAAUGGUCAAGUCCUCCGCAUUAUUCACACCACCCUUCUCAAUAAAUCACAAUUGCUGAAACUGCAGGUUGGCACUUACUUAAAUAGCACCGUGUUGGUUAAGGGUGACAUGUGCUGACACGACCUCUGUUUGCAUGCAACAUGCUCUAUGGAGAGCUACCGCCUAAAAUCUACACGUAGCUCUGUCAACCCAAGUACCUUGUGCACCAUUAAGCAAGGUUUAGAUUAAGCCUGGACAGCAGUUGUAUCUUCAUUCUAGGCAGGCUUUUCUUAGAGAAGCGAAGCUUGAAUGGCAAUAGUAUUUGACAUUCAGACCUAUCCCACUCUACAGACCUAAUUUUUAAAUAUUCCUGUUAUUUUAUAAACCAUCAGAUUUUCAGAACAGAUGCGAGACUACAGAAUGUGAGGACACAGAAUCAUAAAUGAGCCCAUUGGUACCUUGGGUCUUGCUGAAGCUUCCUUGAUGGACAGAGUUGUCCUUGGAUUACUAUGUGUGCUGCGUCUGCAUGAGUACCACUUUACUGUUCUUAUUGUUUGGGAAGGGAGAACCAAUAAGCAGUCAGUGUCUCAAUUCCAUUGGAAGGAACGAUAGAGGGGAAGAUGAAUAUUUUAAAGGUUGGCAAUGUGUUUAUCUGCAAAGCACUGGGCUUGACUAAAAUGGUUUUGACACAGCCUAAGAAGUACAAUAGCCAGCCUUGUGGUGUCCUGGGACACAUCUAAAUGAAUGAGGAAGGGGCUGGUUGUGUGGUGGUGUCAUCUUCCCAUUUCACAUUUCACUCUCAACUAUUAGAUGUGCCCUUGAUCAGAACUGAUUUCUUUCUUUUUUUUUUUUUUUUGCUACAAGGAGAUGGCAGCCUAGGUGUGCUUUCCUUUAAAAAAUGUCAGCUUGUGAAAUAAUAAUACAGAUGACAAUUCCUGAGUGUGUACUCUGCCAAGAGUUGUACCAGAGGCUUCAUGUGUAGUGUUUCCAUUCCGCAUGAUGAUGGUGCAAGGAAAGUGCAGCUAUUCCUAUCUUUAGAUGAGGAAACAGAGGUUCAGAGCUUUGCCCAAAUCCGUAACGGUGGAGCCAGCCUUUCAAUACAAAUCUCUUCUGUUUUAAAGACUAUGUUGUUUCCACUAUAUAAUGCUGCUUCCCACAUGGAAAUGUGAAUGUAUGAAAAAUCUCCCUGAUGCAUUUAGUAUUUUUUUUUUUGGACCAUUUCCUCUCAGCUGAAAGGCUAAAAAUCAGCUUACGAGCUACUAACGAUCAGUAAGGUGUUUGUGUUUUGUUUAGUUUUUAAGGAAAGCCAGUGGGAAAAUGAGAUUCAUAUAUAUAAGCAAAAGCAUUUAUACUUUAUAUAAAUAUAUAUAAAACCAUACACACACACACAUACAUGCAAGCAUUCUGUAAUAUACCCACUGGGUGAUAUGUCAGUUCUCCUUUGAAUUCUUUUUUUCUUUUCUUUUCUUUUUUUGAGACAGAGUCUUACUCUGUUACUCAGGCUGGAGUGCAGUGGUGCCAUUUUGGCUCACUGCAGCUUCUGCCUCCCAGGCUCAAGAGAUCCUCCUUACCUGAGCCUCCCUUAGCCUCCCAUAGCCUCCCUUAGACUCCCAUUGUAUUUUUUGUAGAGAUGGGGUUUCGCAAUGUUGCCCAGGCUGGUCUCAAACUCCUGGGCUCAAGCGAUUUGCCCACCUUGCCCUCCCAAAGUGCUGGAGUUAUUGGCCUGAGCCACCCACCAUGCCCAGCGUCCUUUGAACUCUUUAUGUAAUCUAUCUCAUGAUUUUAUUUUUUAGGAAAGCAUCUUCUGAUAUUUAAAGGUAGGCCUCACUUUAUGCAGGACAUAUAUCACUUUAGUUUCUAUGCAACAUCAUGCUUUCCAUGCACCGUGUAAAACAAUCAAUUUUAUAGAACUUAUUGGUGUCCCUUUUGUUAAUAGGAAAAUGCCCCUUGUAAAGUCAGGUUUUAUUUUUGUGUGUGUUUCCUAAUUUUAGCUCUGAGCACACUGAUGUUCUUACAGCAAGACACACUGAUUUUUUUUUUUUCUGGACCAAAUACUAAUUGACGGAGAAAAGUAAUUUUUAUUGAUAAGCAUGAGAAUUAGCCUCACCAGGCUUUUGGAGUUUGAGGAACAGAUAAACUUUAAAAGAUAUAAUGAGCUUCACUUCAGGCCAAUAGAUAUAAAUCUCAUUUAUUCUUUUUAUUAAAAAUUGCAAAAUUUCACCUGGUGUAGACAUGUAUUAAUUUAUUCAUCCCUAUUGACAAACAUGUAGGUUGUUUGCAGUUUGGUAUUGUUUUUUUUCCAUGAUAAAUAAUGCUGGAAUAAUGAUGGAUAUCUGUGGUUUUUUUUUUUUUUUUUUUUUUUUUUGAGACAGAGUCUCGCUCUGUCACCCAGGCUGGAGUGCGGUGGUGCAAUCUCGGCUCACUGCAAGCUCCGCCUCCUGGGUUCAUGCCAUUCUCCUGCCUCAGCCUCCUGAGCAGCUGGGACAACAGGUGCCCGCCACCAUUCCUGGCUAAUUUUUUGUAUUUUUAGUAGAGAUGGGGUUUCACCGUGUUAGCCAGGAUGGUCUUGAUCUCCUGACCUCGUGAUCUGCCUACCUCGGCCUCCCAAAAUUUUGGGAUUACAGGUGUGAGCCACCACACCUGGCCAGAUAUCUGUUCUGUCUUCAGCACCUGGGGCCCUGUGGAGGCUGCAGCCCUCCUUCUUGCUGGGAUAUUGACAUUGUGCUGGCCCCACAGGGCUCCUUCUCCAGCCAUCCUUUGAAUCAUCUACUGCAGAGCAGCUAGGAGGUGGGAAACCAGAUAGACAGGCUGGAGAAGAUCCUCUCAAAAACAAGAGCCCAUAGCUGCCGAGUGGGAGCCAGCAAAUAGAGUGCGUGGAUACAGGCACUGGAUGUUAUUUAUGUCUUUCUCCUUUGUCGUUCUCCAUUAUUUUACCAUUAACCUUAAGAAGGCAAAGAUCAUCUCAUGUUCAUUUUUAAAUCUUUUAUAAUGUCUAUCAUGAAUGUAAAAAUGCGUUUAUUCAAGGGACAUUUAAGGACUGUGUUAAACACUAAGGGGUCAAAGAUGAAGAAGACAUGGCUUUUAGGCUCGUGGGUUGCUGUUUCUUACCUGGCAACUCAGCAAGAGAAGCAGGGGCUCCUUGCUCUUGCAUCCCCCUUGCUCUUAUUUUCUUUCCCCAGUGCUGUGUAUUUUUUCAUACUGUUCUAGAAAAUCUGAGAGUGGGUUGGUAAUGCCCUUGGUUCUGAUGAGCUUACACAAUUUUUUCUUCCUCGGUGAGUACUUGCAAUAUUAGUUCUUAAUAUUGAAAGUGGGGGUAAGGCUUUUUCACCCUGACCUUGGUCACUCGUAGGUUAGGAGAUGAUGUUCUACUUCAUUAAAAGUGUGUUGAGCUCCUUGAGGGAAUCUCUUAGGAAACAUGUGACGUUAGACGUUUUUGAGACCCCUCUUUGCUAUCAAAGGAAGAAGAGGACCAGUGGGGCCACUUUUAUCACCUGCCCUCUCUCCAUUGUGGACCCAUGUUUUGAAAGACUUUGAUCAUCCAGCUGUAUUUUGAUUUUUUAAUUAUUUAUUUAAAUUAUUAUUUUUAAAUCAUUAAUGAUUAUUUCCUAGUUGUUACUCAGACAAUGUGAGGUAGGUGCUCUUAAAACAGGUGGCCCAUAUGGUUCCAGCCAAGAGAUCCGGGUUAGCCUGUGCUGUUGUGAUGAAGACAGUUGCACGUUUUCCAUUAGAAUUUUUAAAAUAUUCCCUCCAGUUUUGCAGAACUCACUGGUACCUGGGUUCUUAGAUUGGGCACUGCUGCCCCAGAAUAAGGGUCAGCAAACUAGGCCCCGUUGGUGGGUCAAACCCGGCCCACCCACAGCCUGGUUUUGUAAAUAAAGUUUUAUUCGAACACAGCCACACCUACUUGUUGACACAUUGCCUGGGUCUGCUUUGGGGCCACAAUGGCAGAGUUGAGUAGUUGCCACAGAGACCUUUUGGCCCGCAAAGACGAUUCACUUUCUGACCUUUUGCAGAGUUUCCCUAUCCCCACUCCCAUCUAGAGGAAGGUGGCCCUGAGGUGUGUCGGGUGGGGAAACCUCUUUGAAGCCCAGACAGCUUGGGGUUGGGUCAUUGGGUAUUUCGGGGGAACGACAGGGAAUAUGCCAGCUGCUAAAAGAAAAGCUGUGGUGAGAGCAACAUCACUCAAAGCCUGUCGGGAUCUUCUGUCUUGUGGGGCAGAGGAAGAAGGCCUGGCAGGUCUGAGGCAGGGAGUUCAGGGGUGUGUUAGGGGAGGGUUGAGGGAGAGGAUGUUGGGGAACUUCUUUAAAUUUCUGCCUUAGGAAUUUCUGGUGCAGAAAGAAGGAGAAACAUUAACAAAGUGAGGCACUGGGCAGUUCUGUCUUCUCCCUUACAAAACGUUCUUCAGAGCCCCCAGGGUGCUUCUGGGGAAGCCACCAGACACGCAGCAGCUCUUGCCAACAGUGCGGGCUUGUCAACUUUUUCUUUCCCUUUUAUGCCUGUGGUGAUAAACAUAUGCUUUGAAGCAUGAGAUUUGAUUUUCCUGUCUUAACGCUUAUAAAUACAAAUGUGAUUAAUGGUCAUAAAAAACUGGUUGACAGUGUAAGACUAAUUCUCAGCAAAGUAGCCCUGCGCUGUUCCCUGUGGAAGAGGCUGUUAUGCAGAGGCCGUGUUGAACAGCGUGAAUAACACGGGCCCACUUCCCAUCCCUACCGCCACCCCUCCUCCUCCUCUUGGUUUUUCCCUCAGAUCUCCCUAUCCUCCCCCUGGAGGCUCUUCCUCCUUGAUAAUUAAAAUUGGUGGAUUUUCCUCUCGAGAGCUACCUGAGGUAAGGAUCCGAGUCUCUUUGUCAUGCCAUUAAUAGUCCGGAACUCUGCAGAAAGGCAUCUGGCUGCCUUCUCCGUUCCCCACUUGGGCCUGGCGGGCCGCCUGUACAUGUUGGGGAACAACACAACCUAAAUCUGGACAAUUUGUAUUUUAGUAGUAACGGGGAUAUUCUCUGUCUCCCUCUGUCAUUUUGCAUUAAGGACCUGCCACUAAUAAAACUAAUUAAUAACUGCUGGCUCGAUGUGGAAUAGUUGGACUUCUUAAACCUGGCAGCCUGCCACCGCCGCUUUUGAAAGAAGCACUUCAUCUUUGUCAUGGACAGGAUGAAUAUUUCUCCACACUUCUAAUUGGACAAAGUGCCUUUCAAACUCACUGGCAUUUCAGAGAGAGCAGAUAAGUAGUCCGUGUGCUCUCCAGAUACAAUCACCUCUCAGCUGCCUCCAAGAUUGGGAGCCAUUUCCCAAGAGAAGCCAGCACAGAGGGCUCUGAACUUUUUCUUCUUUAGUGACUCCUCCUGAUUUUACCUCUGACCUCUGACUCCAGACAGAGUGAGCCCGAAGGGCAAGCAGGGCACUGGAGCUCACCAAACCCACAGUAGGAAGGAGUAGUUUUCAUGUUUGAGGAGCAGCACAGUUAACUGGGAGGAGUGGGGGCUUCUUGGAAAAUGCAGAUUUUGGUAGACCCUCCCAGGGGACAGUGCCAUGACAUCUGGAUUCUUUUUCUUUUUCCCUUUUUUUUUUUUUUUUUUUUUUUUUUUGAGUCAGGGUCUCACAUCAUUGCCCAGGCUGGAGUGCAGUGGCAUGAUCUUGGCUCACUGUAACCUCCACCUCCCCGGUUCAGGCAAUUCUCCUGCCUCAACAUCCUGAGUAGCUGGGAUUACAAGCAUGGACCACCAUGCCAGGCUAAUUUUUGUAUUUUUAGUAGAGACAGGGUUCCACCAUGUUAGCCAGGCUGGUCUCGAACUCCUGACCUCAAGUGAUCUGCCCACCUUGGCCUCCCAAAGUGCUGGGAUUACAGGCAUGAGCCACCGUGCCUGGCCAGGGCAUCUGGAUUCUUAACAAGCUUUUCAGGUGGUUCUGAUGCACAUCAGGGUCUUAGAAUUACAGGGAUAAUCCUGGGGCUGAUACUGGAUGAUGUUUGCUUUUUAGUCACUUAACCAGCAUGUCUUUUUAGAUGACCCUAGGUUGCAGUGUGCUGAGCAAGGAAGAAAUUGUAGUCUAAUCAAAGACAUGACAGAUGCAUAUGAAGGCUUAAAUGAUAGCAGUUAAAUAGUUAAAUUCAACAAACAGAUUGUAUUUUGCAGACAAAUCAUAAGUGGUUAAUUUUUCACGUUUUAGGAGGAGCCAGCCACAGAGAGAACUUUAGUAUUGAGUACUGAAUAAUCAGAUGUGUUUUCUUAGAGUGAAGGUUAACCACUGUGGCUUUAGAGCUGGGUGGUGAAGGAUGUAUAGGAGUUUAUCCAGUAGAGAAACAGGGUGGGGCAUUCCAGGGAAAAAUAAUGGCAGCAAUGCAGGUCUCGGUCUGGGCAUUUCAUGGUGCCUGUGUGAUAAGAGAUCAGAGAGAAGGGUGUGUGACUGCCGACGACCUUCUCCUGAGGAGACCCUCAGAGCCAUGGGGAAGAGAUGAGAUUAGGCUGGGCCUGAGGUGCAGAUAGGGAUGUUCUAGAAUUAAGGCAUCAAAGGCUGGAACUUGAGUCCUGCCACAGAAUGGAACAGAGUGGUAGUUUAGGUUAUUUCAGUUGUUGCAUGAUCAAUAGCAUGAGAUUUUCACUUGAAUGUGGGAGCCAAAAGAGAGAAAAUUCAGUGACUGACAAAUCUAAGAUUUCUAGUUUGGGGGACCAGUGAGAUAGCAGUGUGGCUGGCCAGAAGUUUAGGAGCUAUCCUAAGGUUUUGCCAAUGUCGGGGCAAUCAAGGAAAACCACUCUGAUUACAGAGUUGGCAGAGAUGGAGUUUCUGAUGAGAACAUUCUGGGAAGAUUUCACUUUUUCUUUAUACUUGAGUAGCCGUAUAGAGAUCCUGCCAGUCUGGUUGCCUAAAUUCAUUUCUUGUCCUCUUAUUGAACAUUAAUGCUCAUAGGAAAAAAAAAAAGAUGGGAUCAACAGGUCUGGAGGCUAAAUAUCAUUUAGUUUGCUGCAGAGGCUCAGAGAAAUCAGAGUGUCAGCAGAUAAUCACUUCAUGCUUCAUCAGUGUGCUGAAACCUCAUUUACAGAGGGACACAUCCAAACCAUGAGCUCUCUGCAACAAGCAAAAGGACCUGCGAAACAGCUUUGCAGUCUGGGUUCAUUUGUUCCAGGUAACGCCUGCAUGUUCCAUGUGUCUGCCACCUUGAUAAGUUCUUGGGUGGUAGGAGCCAAAGAAUAGAAGUAACAGUCCUUCUUCUUCUUCUUCUUCUUCUUUUUUUUUUUUUUUUUUGAGAGACAGGGUCUCGCUCCUUUGCCCAGGCUGGAGUGCAGUGGGACAAUCAUAGCUCAGUGCAGCCUUGAACUGCUGAGCUCGAGGUAUCUUCCUACCUCAGCCUUCCAAGUAGCAACAACUACAGACACAUGCCACCAUGCCCAGCCAAUUUUUAUUUUUAUUUUUUGUAGGGGUCUCACUAUGUUGCCCAGGCUGGUCUUGAACAAUCUGGCCUCAAGUAAUUCUCCCACCUUGGCUUUCCAAAGCACUGGGAUUACAGGUUUGAGCCAUCACUCCCAGCCUAACAGUCUCCUAACAGUCCUUUGAUUCAGCAAACCUUUACUGUAUGGCUGACUGUAUGCCAAGUACUCCCCUAGGGGGCGAAGUAUAUACAAUAAAUAAAGCAAAGUUACUUCUCUCAAGGAGCUCCUGUGAUAGUUGAGGAGAUGGUUGUGUAUAGAUGAUUAAGAUUAAGUGUUACAACUACCGAAACAGAAUUUCAUACCAGGUACAUAGGUACCACAGAGCAGGAAGUGAUUAAUUCUAAGGAAAGAGAGACUCUCCUUAAUUCUAAGGAGAAAGAGACUUAUCUUAGGGGGGAAAUUGAGGGGUGUCUGGGGAGGGCUUCCUGGAGGAGAUGAUGUAAUGCGUGAAGUUUGGGAAGAUAACUGACCAUUUUUCUGGACUGAAAAGGAGGUGAAGAGCAGUCUAGGCAAAGAGCACAGGGAAAUGUGAAUAGCUAUUGCUUCUCAGCGUUCAGUGUGUAAGGGGAGUGUGUUGUGAAGGGAUAGACACAUGGUUGCAAAUGCAAAUUUUAUGUUUUAACUUAUGGAAUGGGAAGAUGGGGCAAAAUUGUGAAAUGCAGUGCAAUGCGUGGAACUCAUCUGUGGGAAGCAAGUACAUUCUCACAUCAGCUGUUCAGAGAUGUGUUUUUGAGUUCUGUGGACAUGGGAACUGGGCUUUGAUAGGAGAUGGCUCUGUGUCAGUUCAGCCCUCUGAAUUAACAGAUGAGGAGAGGAUCACUGGGUUAGGGCAGAGGUGUGUGGGAGCAGCCAGGAAACUUUGCCUUCCCAUUCCAAGGAUGGGAAAGGUUAGACAAGGCGUGUCUGUCUGACAAAAUUGCUGGGAAGAGAGGUAUGAAAGGAGGACAUGAGACUAUUGAUUGUAACCCAUUCAUUCAUGUAGCAGAGUUGUUUAUUGAGCAUUUGCUUUGUGGAAAAACACAGGACAAGGUGCUCUUAGCAGUGAUAAAGAUUAUUCCCUGGUCUUUGUCAUUAAAACAUUACCAUUUUUAAGAGAUGGGUACACAAAAAAUCAGAAUAAAUGAGGAUAAGAAGAACUAGUGCAAACUGCUUUUGAAAGAAAGAGUGAUAUAUGAAUGAUUCUAACAAGGGUUUGAAAGGAGGGAAAAGCUUCAGCUCUGUUCUCUGUCCAUCCAUGAGCCAGUUUUUUUCCUUUUUUUUUUUUUUUUGAAACAGUCUCACUCUUGUUGCCCAGGCUAGAGUGCAAUGGUGUGAUCCAGGCUCACUGCAACUUCUCCCUCCCGGGUUCAAGCGAUUUUCCUGCCUCAGCCUCCCAAGUAGGUGGGAUUACAGGUGUUUGCCACCACACCCAGCUAAUUUUUGUAUUUUUAGUAGGGAUGGGGUUUCACCAUGUUGGCCAGGCUGGCCUGGAACGCCUGACCUCAGGUGAUCUGCCCACUUUGCCCUCCCAAAGUGCUGGAUUACAAGCGUGAGCCACCAUGCCUGGCCACAUUUUUUAAAAAAUUGAAAUAACUUUUAGACUUGCAGAACAGUUGUAAAGAUAGUACAGGCAACUCCUGCAUACUCCUCACCCAGCUUGCCCCAAAGUUAACCUCUGUAACCAUGGUACAAGUUAUCAAUUAAAAACUUAGUAUUGGCACAAUGCCACCACCUACAGACCUUAUUGGAUUGACUCAUUCUUCUGCCAGCGUCCUUUCUCUGUUCUAGGAUUCCACAUUGCAUUGAGUUGUGUUGUCUACUUAGUCUCCCCCAGCCUGUGAUGAUUCCUUGGUUUUCCUUGUUGUUUAUGAUCUUGAUCUUGAUCCCUGUGAAGAGCAUUGGUUAGGAACGUUAUAGAAGGCCCCCCAAUUUGGGUUCUCUGGCAUUUUCUCCUGGUUAAAGGGAGCCUGUGGAUUUAGGGGAAGAGCACCACACAGAGGUGAAGGGCUCUCCUUAACAUAUCAUAUCAUUGGUAUAUUGUGUCAUGCCAUCGAGCUGUCCCAUUUCUGGUGAUGUGAACCUCGAUCUGAUUCCCUAGUUAAGGUGGUGUCUGCCAGCCAUCUCCACUAUAAAGUCACUGUGUUUCCCUUUGUAACCAACAGAUACUUUGGGGCUAGGAAAUAUUCUACUUCUCCUUAAACUUACCACAAGCUCCUUUUCAAGCCUUUGUCAUGGUUCAUUCUAACCUUUCUCCUACUGGAAACAGCACUGUGGCUUCAUGCGAUGCUCUGUCUUCCAUCUUCCUGCAGUUGGCUCCAGGGAAUAAACUCACACACCAUGGAUGUUCCCAGGGUGAUGGUAGCAGGUGUAAAGCAUUGCUUUUAUUUAUGUAGAGAGGAAAUGGUGCUCAGGGCUAGCAAUUUUUCCAAACGCACAUUUCUGAAAGAGUAUCUGCACUACUUUGUUUUGCUAUCAUGGCAACAACACUGAAGUGGAGGAAGGAAACCCUGAGGACUGGUCUGUUCCUGAUGAUACUGAGCUGUGUGACCUCAGGCGAGGAACUUGAGUUCUCUGGGCUUCAGUUUUCCUAAAGUGGCUGAGGUUAGAUUAGUCAAUUCCUAGAGAGACUUUCACUGGUAACAUUCUGUAGUUCCAUGGUGAGAUUUCCUUCUUGGCUAAAACUCUACCUCUAAUAAGGAAAACUGAGUUACAAUACAGUAAAGAAAACAGAUAUGAAGGGUGUCUGGGUGUUAUAUGACCUUGGAGUCUCUGUAAUUGAGACAUCCAUUAAGGGUAUUUUGAAAUCAGGCUAAUGAAUGAGAAAUAAAUUGCUAUUUUCAAAGUCUCACAAAAGGGUAUACAUCCAAUUAUAGUGGAUGGCUGUAAGAAAGGACAAGCUCUUUAUGUUCAAGACCUUUCCUCUCUGUAGCUUUUCACAAGAUUAGAUUGCCUUUAGUUACCCAAUCUCAGAUUUCCACUCUAGUGCUACUGGUGUUUGGUAUUUCUCUCUUCUUUUGGAGUAUGCAGACAUCUCUCCCAUAUUAGAUUCUGGGCAACAUCUUAAUUCUUACCAUAUGGCCGUAUUCUUAAAGCUGAACAUGGAAAUGACCUACUUUAUCCUUUUUUUUUUUUUUUUUUUUUUGCCAAAGCUAAUCCUAGGCAUACACUUUUUUUUCUUUGUUCUGCUAAUGACAAUGCUUGUUCUUUGCUGAUGGGCAUGUCACUGAAAAGGUGGCAACAAAGUCUGAUUAAUUUCAGAGCAUGAAUUUCAAACCCUCUUUGACGUCCCAUAAGCAUCCCAGAUUGUCACAUUUUCCCCCUUUCUGGUCAUUUUCUGCUAAUUGACCCUUUUUCACUUUAGUGCUGCUUUUUGCUUUGUGAGUUUUUACCUUGGUUUAAUUUAUCAUUUGAAAUUCUUGCCUUACCAUUUGCAAUUUGCAUCGUUUCAGAAGGAUGAAAAGAGCUCAAUGUUCUUCCAGGAGAUAAUGUUUUUAGGAAAGGGCUCUCUUUAGUGGCUGUUUAAUGGUAGAAUGGCUACCCUUCAUUCUCAAACAUGUUAAGACCAACUCACUAAGACACACAUGCUGGAUUUCUGACUGGGCCGGAAACAUAUGGAAUGUUACUAUUGUCUUAGUAUUCCUUAGCAUUUUACUUAAUUCUAAUACUAGUCCUAUUGGCCUGUAAGGUGACUGACUAGAUUUUUUUUUUUUUUUUUUUUUGAGAUGGAAUCUCGCUCUGUCUCCCUGGCUGGAAUGCAGUGGCAUGAUCUCGGCUUACUGCAAGCUCUGCCUCCCAGGUUCAAACGAUUCUCCUACCUCAGCCUCCCGAGUAGCUGGGAUUAUAGGUGCACACCACCACACCCAGAUAAUUUUUAUAUUUUUAGUAGAGAAGAGGUUUCGCCAUAUUGGCCAGACUGGUCUCAAACUCCUGACCUCAGGUGAUCCAGGAGACCUGCUUUGGCCUCCCAAAGUUCUGGGAUUACAGGUGUGAGCCACCACGCCUGGCCUUUCUUUGUGUGGAUUUUUAAAGUGUCUGCCAUGUUUGGCAGUGUGCUAGGUGCUGGAACUCAAAAGUGGGCAACCCACAGGCCCUGCCUUCAAGGUGCUCAUGGUCUAGUAAGGAAGACAGCAAAAAUACAGAAUUUCAAUAGAAUGUGUUACCAUAGACAUAGGCACAACAUACAGAGGUAAGAGAGGAAGGAAUUUUUAACUGUCUCUUUAAAAGAAGAAUUCAGGGAAAGCUUUUUGGAAGAGGUGUUGUCCAAACUGGAUUUUGCAAGAUGAAUAAGAUAUUGCCAGGAAGAAAAUUGGUAGAAAGUUGUGAACACUGUGGCCGCAGAACACAGCAAGGUAACUAAUUGGUCCGCACAAAUGACCCUAUAACCUUGUAGGGUUAUAAGCACUGAACCAUGUAAGAUGUUGCAUAGUUUAAUUGUAUUAAAUCUCAUACAACCCUUUAGAACAACAUCCUCUCCAAAUUCGUAGAAGAUAUUAUUUCUCUGAAAUGGAAAUAAGUAGUGAUAGGAUGGAUAAAUGAAGCCAUUGAUGAUGAAAACGUAUUUGUACUGCUACCUACCUGGAUCCUCCCUUUACUUGUCUUUAAGUCAUACUUAACUGGUAUCUUCAGUGUAGUAAUUGUUGCUCUACAGUUUUGUCUUUUUUUUUUUUUUUUUUUUUUUUGAGAUGGAGUCUUGCUCUGUUGCCCAGGCUCGAGUGCAGUGGCAUGAUCUUGGCUCACUGCAGCCUCUGCCUCCUGGGUUCAAGUGAUUCUCGUGCCACAGCCUCCUCGGUAGCUGGGACUACAGGCAUGCACCACCACACCCAGCUAUUUUUUUUUUGUUUUUUUUUUUAGUAGAAACGGGUUUCACUGGGUUGACUAGGCUGGUCUCGAACUCCUGACCUCAGGUGAUCUGCCCACCUCGGCCUCCCAAAGUGCUGGGAUUACAGGCGUGAGCCUCCACACCCAGCCUACGGUUUUGUCUUCUUACCAUCAUUUGCUUUUAAAUCAUGUGUAAGCAGGUGUGGAGGACCUGAAGAUGGUUAUCCAAAGAUCUUUACUGGCCAUAUUCAUUUAUUGAACUCUGAACAUUUGAAAGCAGUUAUUAAAACCCUUUAAUCCAUCAGUUUGUCCAUUUGCCACACAUUUACUAUAUGUCAGGCGUUAUGCUAAAUCACUGGUUGGCAAACUUUUUGAUCUCGUGACCCCUUUAUACUCUUAAAGAUUAUUGAGGAUCUUAAAGAGCUUUUUGUUUAUGUGAAUUACAUUUAUUGAUACUUACCAUCCAAGAACUGAAAAUAGAGAAAAUAAUUUAAAAUACAUGUGUUUUAAAAUAUUAUAAACCCAUUGCAUCCUAACAUAAAUAACAUAUUGUAAUUAAACAAAAAUCUUCCAAAACAAAAACCAGUUAGAAGAGUGGCAUUCUUUUUUAUUUUUGCGUAUCUCUUUUAUGUCUGGCUUAAUAGAAAACAGCUGGAUUCCCAGCUCUGCUUCUGCAUUCAGUGUGUGGUGGUAUCACACAUCAUGUAACCCCUGGAAAACUCUACUAUUUGUCAAAGUAUUAUGAAAAUUGUUUUGACCUCAUGGGUUUCCUUGGAAGAGUCGACCCCUGCAAGGGACCACGGACCACACUUGUGGGAACUGCUGUGCUAAAUCAUGCUGCUUCCCUCUAUGGAGUGGAGAUACUGAAUCCUGGAGGUGCCUUGAAAAGAACCUGAGGAGGCAGAGCUGUGGGCUGAGGUCCUCGGGUCCAUAUUACAUCCCGGCAGAGGAGAUCACGCAUCCUUCAUGUGACCAUGGUUAUUUUGGUUUGAAUCCACAAAAGAGAAAAGAAUGCAUGUGUUUAGAUUUUCUUUGUACCAAAGGAAAAAGUAUGUAGAUGGGUCAUGUUAAAACAUUAAAUAAUGGGUUAGAUAUAGCAAUACAUUUUACCCCAUCAGAAGAUAUUUUCAAAAGCGGGUAUAGUCUAUAUGGUUAGCUAUUCAAGGACUUGCCAUGGGUGUCAUGUUUCCAUUUAACAGUUGUCUCCUGCUAGGUUGUUUGUCAUUUAUAUGUAAGCUUAUUUUCUUUUUUGUAAUUAACUCACAACCUGUUUAUUCCUUUUUAGUAUUUGUGUAUAUAUUGAAAGAAUUGCAUGAUUUUUUGUUUCUUCACAUAGAGUAUCUUUUAUUUUUAAAAAGAAUCUUGGGGUGAUGGUUUAUUUUAGAGUUAAAUCAAUCAAAAUAUCAAAAAGCUUUUCCUCUGAUGCCUUAGAAGUGUUUUAGUAGACACAGCACUACCAGUAUUUUCCAAUAUCCUUGAAAGAAAUGGCUGUGAGCAUUCUAGAUAAAAUUGAUAUAUUUAUCCAUAUUUUUCUGCUCAUAAAAUAGAAUUUGAGCACUUUCAGAUUAUAUUUUCAAAUAUUUAGGGCAAUGUAUUUAAAAUGUUUUAAAAAUUAACUGGGGAAAAAGGAUGAAAGAGUUUUAAUUUCCUUGGAUCCGAAUAAUUCAAGUUGCAAGCUUCUGUAUUCAAUUUUCCUUGCCUUCUGUUGGUUGGUUUGGGAUUUUUCUUGGCCUGGGAUUGAAUAUUUUGUAUCACUUUAGGAAAGUCAGGAUGUAGCUAGCUUUCAAAGUAAUAACUCAGAUUUAUAGUUGAAUGGAUUUAGAAUCAAAGGAUUUUGAAAAACAUACAUUAGGUUCUUUGCUCUUUUUUAGAAUCCGAGUAUUUUAAACACACUUUCCAGUGUAACACUUGGAGUCUUUUUUAAUGCUAAGAAUAAGAAAAUGGAAGGAAGGUUUUUAUCUGCCUCCCUUCCUCAUUUCUUCCCCUUUGGCCUUCUUUCCUUCUUUUUCUCCUUUCUUUUUUCUUUUUCUUUUUUUUUUUGUUGAGAUGGAGUCUUGCUCUGUUGCCCAGGGUGGAGUGCAGUGGUGCAAUCUCGGCUCACUGCAGCCUCCGCUUCCUGAGUUCAAGGGAUUCUCCUGGCUCAGCCUCCCGAGCAGCUGAGAUUACAGGCACAUGCCACCACACUUGGCUAAUUUUUUGUAUUUUUAGUAGAGACGAGAUCUCACCAUCUUGAUCAGGCUGGUCUCGAACUUCUGACCUCAAGAGAUCUGCCUGCCUCAGCCUCCCAAAGGGCUCGGGUUAUACGGGAUUAUAGGCGUGAGCAACUGCACCGGCCUCCGGUUCCUUUCUUGUUUUUUAUUUUUAUUUUUAUUCUUAUUAUAUAAUUUUAUGCCUCUCUUUGACUCCCACCCUGGCCAGAUUUGUAACACUCAAAUGUCCAUUAAAACGCACGAACAGUUAUGUGAUGGAAGCUGGGCCCUGGUGCUGACAGCCGUAUUUUUCACAUCGUUGUAAACAUGUGUGCAACCACAUCUUAGUUUUUAGUUUAAUUAUUUCUAAUAAUAAUACAGUGAUUUAUAAAGUUUCCCUUUCAAAACAAAAUCUGGAGUGUGCAGACCACUGAAAUUACAAACAUAUUUAAAGAUGUAAAACGUCUCGGGUGAAAAGCCCAAGCCUGUCAGUAUUUCUAAGCACGCAUUUCUGGAAACCCAAGUCCCCACUCACCUGUUUUUCUAAUUGCAUUUUCCUUGAAGUGCCUUUGUGCUCACUUGGAUUCUCUAGCUUUAACUCAGAGCAGCAAAUCUUCCUCUUCUCUGCUGGAAGUAGCAUUAUUUGUGGAUGCUGAAAAGUUCUAGAAUUAAACAUCAGAACUCCUUCCAUCGCUUCACAGAAGGUGCGUUAUAAACACUGAAUGGCUGUGUAGGGAUUUUGUCUUCAAUGUCUUUUAAAUCUUCAAUCAUCGAUAUCCAUUUAAGGCCAACCAAUCCUGUUUGCUUCCUCUUUGCCAUCCCCUUCCCCCGACCUAUGAGAGCAGGCAUUCAAUAAAUGUAGGUAGGGCAGUGAAUGUUCCAGAGGCCAGUUACAUGUUAAUUUGAAGUCAGGACAUAUAAAGCAUGAACAUUUAUGUUAAAACCUGCGUACCUCUUUUGUUAGUGUAUAAAUGCCGUAAUUUUAACAACAAUAAUAAUAGUAGUCAUUUUUACUAAAUGCCUACUGUGUUCCUGACAUCAUAUUAGGCACAUUAUAUGUGUCAUCUCAUUUUACUAUGAAUUACACAACUCUGUAAGGGUUAUUAUUUUCCCAUUUUAUAGUUGAAGAAACUGCAGCUUGCCCAUGUUCAUAUGGCUUAGUAAGCAUGUUUUUAAGCAGUUGAUAAGAAUAAUUCAUUUUUAGCCAGGCAUGGUGGCUCAUGCCUGUAAUCCCCAAGCAUUUUGGGAGACUGAGGUAAGAGGAUUACGUGAGCCCAGGAGUUCAAGAUCAAUCUGGGCAGCAUAGCAAGAUCCCAUCUCUGAAACAUGAAAGUAAAAAGAAAUAUUUUCUUUUUGCAGAUUGGCAUGCUUAAAGGGCUGACCAUCUGAUGUACAGGAAAUGGAAACUACUCUCUGAAAAGCAAGUGAUCUCCCAGCCGCACCCAUUUAGGAGACCAGGAUUUUAUUUUGAUCCACAGGAGACUAAAUGAGUUAGAGGCCACUCCUGUAUCAACAGAGUUUGUUACUUAAAUGACAGUAGGGCGGUUCGCAGAAGGAACACCAAAUAGUCUGACUAUCUACCAAGAAGAGAGUGUUUGAACACAUGUGCAACCUCUUGACUGUGGUGUGUGGGGCAGCAUUUAAUAAGAAAGAGCUAAAUCUGCUUGAUGUGGGAAUAUAUUCAACACAUGUUAAGUGCUAAAAUAUUCAAAGUAAAUAAAUGUCUAUGUACUCCAUAUUGUUAAAGAAA